rnacentral:lncRNA from 1 species
CCCAAUGUACAGUGCCUCAUGGCUAUGCCUUACAAGCGCAAGCACAUAGAGAACCUGCGUUCGGCAAUGGAGGACCUGAGUCCCUGCACAUCAAGAGAUAGAAAGGAGCUCUUCGUGAGAGCAAAUUCCAUCGGAGAAACUGACGGCAGGUAUGGUCUGGCACAGUACCUUGUUGAGAAGCUGCUGUCAAGCGGAGGAGGAGCACUUCCUACCAUUCAGGCCCUCGAACUCAAGACUCUGAUAGGUGCGGGGGCAUUUGGUUCCGUGUACAAGGCUGAAUGGCUGGGGGCACCAGUUGCUGUGAAAGAGUUUAGGAGCGGUGAUGCUUCAUUCGACAAGGAGGUGAACAUCCUGAAAGAACUUAUUUCAGAACCGCACCCGAGCGUGCUCCAAAUGAUAGGAUACUAUCAGAAGGAUGAGAAGGCUUACCUUGUCAUGGAGCUGAUGGAAAGAGAUUUGGCCAACGUUAUAAGGAAGACUCAAGGUUCGCUGCAACUUUUAACUUCUAUAGACAUCAUGCUCCAGAUUGCGAGCGGCAUGAGCUACCUCCAUCAAAAGAAUGUGGUUCAUCGAGACCUCAAGCCUUCGAAUAUCCUGGUUAAGACACCGAACCAUGCCUGCGCCACCUGUUCCAACGUGAGGUUAACAGACUUCGGAGUCUCAAAGUCGAACUUUAUAAGCUUUGCACCGGACUUGUCUUACCAGAGGGGGACGAUCCAAUACAUGGCUCCAGAGAUGCUGAGGGGUCAGAAGUACUCCAGAGAAGUUGACGUGUACAGCUUUGGAAUUACUUGCUUCCAGAUCCUGACUGGAACGCUGCCAUUUCAGGACGAUGGCAAGCAGCUGGUGGCAGAUAAACUGGUCGAGACGAUCGAAGAUGGAAAUAGGCCUGACCUUCCAACAGGCUGUCCACUGGAGCUGGUUGCUCUCCUCAACAGGUGCUGGAACAGGAAUCCGAAAGAUAGACCAACCUUCGAACACAUAUCCAGAAUGCUGUGGUCGCUAAAAGAAAGGUUGCUUGGUGGCCACAACCUCGAAUCCAGCUUCACAGGCAGUGAGAUGUCCAGUUGCAACGCUGCGGAAGAGCUCACACUCGCUGCAGGAGAUAUGAUCUGCCAGAUUUCAGUUGCUGCUCCGUUCACAAAUUUUCACCAGUGCUACUUCUUGCAGUCGAGGUGCAAGCAGAUUUCCAGCUACCGCGAAUUUCCGAAUAAGCUGCGCCUUCGUUCAUGGUUUGCCGUUCAGAUAAAGCUGGUGACUACCUUGAGAACUGCGUUGUCGCUGCUAGAAUCUUACAGUGAAGAGAGGUGGCUGCAUACGGCGGUGCUGAAAGAGCAUAACCCGUGGGCGUUCAGAAAAGCUCUUGAAGAUAUCAACAGAUGUGAAACCACACUGAGAGCCAUAAACCCCGGCAACCACAGCGAUAACGUGAUGACGUUCCCCGCUGUUCCUGAGCAAUAUGCGGAAGAUGAUAAAAAGAGAAUGGCGGAAAGCAUCAAAGGCUUACUCGAUGCAUCGGACGGGGUGACGGUUAAGUUUGCAGAAUAUUUGGUUCAAAAAGCAGCUUUUGAUUCAGUGUUACCAUGCAUCGAUCCACAGGAAAUCGUACUGCUCAAUUUCAUAGGAAUGUCAAACCAUGGGACGAUAUUUGAAGCAAGAUGGCUAGACGUACCUGUGAUGGUAAAAGCCCUUGGAACAGGAAAUGAAGCUGAAAAGCUCCUGAAGGAGCUUGACAAGCGGCACGCAGAACUUAUAAACAGGCCCCAUCCAAAUGUAGUGCAAGUUAUCGGCUACACAAGGCACGGGGAAAACCUGUUCGUGGUGUCCGAGCGGGUCUCUGGAGGCCACUUCCGAGUGACAAAGUUCCCUCUUGUAUUGACCAUCGAGAUCCUGCUUCAAGUUGCUCAAGGCGUGGCCUACUUGCAUGAACAUAACUGCGAGCUCUCGGACUUGAAUACGCUGCUGGUGGACUUUGAAAAAGGCCACUUCGACGAAUUCACCGGUGGCAUCACUGUCAAAGUUCACGCACAGUCCAACCUCAGAAAACGAGAUGGACCAAAUAGCUUGAGUACCUUGGCUGGAAGGUUGAAGCAUCCGUUCCACUUCCCUCACGUGCCAGACGCGGACUGCGGGAAGAUCGACGCGUACAAGUUUGGUAUAGCCUGCGUAGAAAUGAUCACCGGACAAACCAUCGGGGAAGAAAUACUGCUCUCUGGAAAACUACCGCAACUGCCUCACGAUUGCACGGGAAUCAAGGCUGUGAUAGAGAAAUGCCUGAGCUCGCAGCCUCCGGGCUUCCAUCAAAUCGUGGAACUCCUGCAAUCAGCUCAACUUAGACUGGAGAUUCCGCCUACAAGCGACAUAGACUACCGACGGAUGCUUCUGGACUCCAGCGCUCAAACUGGACUCAAGCUCGACAUAACGGGAGACGCAGUAAUUGGUGGCAAGCUCAUUGCUGUUGGAAACGUAGAAAAUGUGGGUAACAGGCUCUACCAGUGGAUCCGUCAGCACAAAGAUGGAACUAUAGAGCGGUUGCGGCCAUUUCUCGUGACGGAGUUGGACUCUGGGACACUGGAGUAUGAUCUAACAGCCGACGACUUCAACAAGGCGAUCUCACUAACUUACGUGGAUAUGAACGAAAAGAUCGAAGUUUCCGGCAGAGAAACCACGAACAGUCGAUGGGUUUCCUAUAGUGACACUAUGAAGCGGGCGCUCAAGAUGAUAUGGGGAGCUGGCGAGGCCAAGUUCAAGGUUUUGCAGCUAAGGGAAGAAGAAGGGAGCAAGCAGAGCUACCUGGUGAUUAGACGGCCGCAUUGCAUGCUGGAGUGGAAGCGCUACUACUUGAAAAGGAUGGAGAUCAAGAUCGCGUUCACCUCCCCGGCGGCCGGCAUCAAAAUAUCCGAGGAGAAUCCGCAAAUUUGCCAGCUGAUCGAUAACGGCGGCGCGGAGGCCUGCAAGAUCCGAUUCAAGAACGCGUUCGAGAGAGACCUGGCGGUGCUUACCUUCCGGCAUUUCUUGCGCGCCUGUGAGAAGGGGAAGCGCUCGCGACGACGAUGACAUCCAAAAUGCUGUGAGUCAACGGCGCGCGCCGGUGAUUUCUUGCUGGAAAUCGAAGUAGAAAUGAAGAACCCUAUAUGUACAAAAGAGAAAGGUGCAAGUUUCGAACCGGCGACUUUUGCUAAAGUGGCAGGUUUUUCAUAUUUCCCGCCCUUGGGAAGCUAGUAUUUCGUGAGCGAGUUUGUUGGUCUCGGGAUCGGGUAGUUUUAGAAUUUUUUCUUCGUUGUGGGCAGCAGAAGACUUAAACGAUGGAUGCAUCCAUUAAAAACCAUGAUGAGAAGCUGACGGCAAAUUCCGAUAUUUUUCUACCUGUAGGUUCAUGGCCUCCAGUCGAAACCACCAAGCUCCAGCUUUACCAUGGCACAUGAAAACGCACCUGGAUAAAAAAAAGGAAAACACUCGUUAGGAGAGAAAUACCUAGAAUAAAAGAGAUAGUACCCUCAGGAGCAGGGAAUAAAUUUCAGGAAAAUAGGGAUUUUUUUCUGACAUUUAUCACUUGAACUAUAAGUGUCAAAUGACAUUAUCAUAGAAACUUCAUAUAAUGUUUGCUUAAUGCCUUGUUCUUGAAGCCACACCCAAAAAAGAUUGUGACCAUUAAAUUGUUAAUCCUCCCAUAUGUGCAUCCAAUGUCUUCAAUCAAAAAUGGGUCAACCUAGAGAGUCUAGGUUUUCUGGCACAUAUUUUUACAUGGUAUAUAGAUUAUCUUGUGUAAGGAAAACCUCUUCAUAUCCAACCAUUCUAGGUCACAGCUUAUCUUGAAAAUCCUGCUAACAUGGGGGAGCAAGGAGUGGGAGAAAUUGGGAUUGAGCAAGAGUAUGGAAGAAAUCAAGUGGAGUGUAGAGGAAGGAGUGGAACACCAAAGUGCAUAGUUUUAUACUUCUCAAUUUGCAUUUGCACUAGAAGACUAUACUCCCUUAACUAAACUUUCUAUUGGCAUCUGGCAUACAUAUUCCUUUUUUAGAAUAUUAUUUAUGAACAUACUUGUGAUCUAACAGUUAAAAUUUUAGAACUUCAACUUUAUAAUGACACUCCAAUCCAAAAUGAAUUUUCUUCAGAUCUCUCUCUCUCUCUCUCUCUCUCUCUCGUGUGUGUGGAGCGAGUUCCAUGCCCCUGUAUGUGUCGAGAAAUCUGUCCCUGCUCAACUGGGCACUGAUCCCCUGUGUCUCUGUUUUACAGCAGAAAGCGGGAGGUAGCCGGCACAAAGGUGACGCCGUCGGGGGCAUUUGGCAAGAAGAUGACCAUGGACGACCUGGAUCAUAAAUACGAGGAUGAUUGUGUCUUUUAGGGCAGGAGAGAGCAACAGUCGACGACAACAGCAGGAAGACAAAAUCUUUAUCUCUGGAUCUCGCACUGGUGUAAUGAACGCAAGGUGACGGGCAUUAGCAAACGGCUACUUUCAAAUUGCAUAUGCAAGUGAACAGGAAUUGAACAAGUGAACAAUUUUCUGCUUUGUCUAAUCACACUGAAGCAUCGGUUGCUGAUAUUAAUGGAAUACUUGCAUGCUCUGAAAACUCCAAGCUUUAAUUGGCCGCACUGCUUUAAUCUGUAUCUGCACCAUUAGCGUGGUGAUGGAAUAUUCCAGCCGAAAUAUUUUCUAGGUAUUUCUAGAAUUGUUCCAGAGCGUGAGACACGUCAGCGACUCGAUACUAUAAAAUUUAGUUUGUUUGCAGUUAUCAUCUCUUGAAGGAAAUGCUCGCGAUAACAGCUUUUGCAUGGACUCCACAAAGAUCACCAAGACUGGAAUAGUGUCCUCCGUUCAAAGCCACACAUGAAAACCUCACACUGACCUUUUGAGAAAGGAGCACCUAACAUACCACCACCACCUCUUCAAUCUUUAGACUUGGCCUGUUGGUUAUGAGCAUCUCACCUUACAAAGCAGUGUUUUUUACUUGUAAGAAUUAGAUAUUUGUUUUGUUUUUUAAGUUGUACAACCUUUUUUUUUGGAAAUGCUGCCAGACAUUCUUUGUCUUCCUUAGUAACUAUGUUAGCAAAUGUUGUGACUUAGUUACGAGGCAAUGCAGAUAAGGAAAGUCAUUUGACAGUGUUUGAAAGCCAUUGAAACCAUUUCAGCUGAAUUCACUUUCAUCUCUUUUUUUCAAGAAGAGUUCUAUCUUGUUUGCUUUUCGAGUGCUUGGACCAUAUCACUGCCUUGCACAAUACAAAUUUAUUUCACUGCUGAUCAUAUGUUUAGAAGCUGCAGAUUUCAUUUUUCUUAUACUCAAAACGUAUGUGUCCAUCUUUGCUGCUUAUUUCUCCGAUUGCAUCGUUCUUCACUUGACCUAAAAAGGCCAAGUUGAAAUGUUUAUAUCUACAAUGUGAUAUUACUAGGGACAAGCAAAACUACAAACACCAACGUCUGAGUUCUUGGGACAAGCACAGUCUCGACUUGAGAAUUUCCCAGCCACUAGAGCUGUUUGACUUUCUCGGUUUGAUCCUGUAAGAAGAUCCGAUUUUGAGUUUAAUUAUGUGAUAGAUCUUUUGGGUAUGAGGUCUCUUGCAAAUUGGAUUUUGUAUUGUGGGGUUUUAGAGACUGCCACGUCCAUAGUGCGCACACAAUGGCAACUUUGAAUUGGGAGGAAAGUUCGGGAUUGUAUUUUUGAACUUGGGGUUAGAGCAGAGAAGGAGUUUAUUGAAGUGGAGGCUAGAAACAGUUGGUGAGUAUGUUAUUGCUAUUUCUGUGCCACAAGAUUGCUGCUGUUGCCAUAGAUUUCUUGAAGGCAAUGACAUAGAAGCAAUGUAAGUCAUUUGAUCUUGGUUGUUUGUAUCUUUUGUUAGAUCUUUCACUUUCAGAGGACCGCCUCCAUCUCCUGGUGCCGACCACGCUGCAGCGGUCUAUGCUGGUCAUUACCUGUGCAUAUUCGGGGAUGGCUCACAUUCCAGUUGCUUCAGUGACUCGCAUUUUGAACUUGAAAACGGUAUGCUUGAUGCAUUUCUCCUUUGAACUUAUGGAUUGAAAACUCCAGACCAAUUUGAUCAUGCAAACAGACUUCUUGUGCAGGCCAUGCUAGCACAGCAAUUGGUGAUUUGUGCAACAAUUUUGGUGGAUGGCAUUUAUGUAUGUUCCAACUUUUCAUGUAUCAUGAUCAGUACCAUGGAUUUCGGAAAUGAUUGUGAAAACGCACUUGUAACCUCUGUGCUAGCAUGGACGUCUAUCACGAUAUCUUCAUCUUCUAUUUCACAACACAUUAUAUACAUCAUUUGUUUUCUCGGGAUUGAGACAUGUCUCCAUGAACUCCAAAAAAAUAAUAAACAACUGAUGGCACUCACGUCAGUGAGCCGUAUCCCACACUGACACAUAAAUCUCCGUCACUUCUAUUGUCUUGACAAGGUUAAUUGACUUGGUGAAGAUGGAAAUGGUGCAAGAACUGUUGGACGGACCGCUGCAUGAGAUCAAAGAAACCAGUAAGUAGGAUUUCCACUUCAACACCCAUCAGUGCCAGUACCUGCAAAGCCGAUGCUCCAUGGUUGAAGAAUAUGUGCGGCUUUGGCAGAGCUGCUCUGAGCUUGACCCACUUCCCCUGGCCAUGGAGGAGCUCCAUUGUAUGCUGAACAGAGCCUUGCAGCUUCUCAAGCAGUGCCAGCAUGAGAAAUGGCUGUACCAUGCUGCAGUCCGGCUCACUGAUUCCAGAGCCUUUGUGGAGAUUUGCUUGUGUCUGAGUAGAUUAAUGGCCUUGGUCAAUGCUCACAUGAUUCAUUGUGCCACAGAUAUUAGGAGUAGUAUUAGAGCCAGUUUAGCCAGGAAUGCCAGUGUGACCAAGGAAUGUUAUACCCACGUGUUAGGUGAUGAUAUAACCACUAAAGAGUCCAAAGCUAAAGUGAAUACAGAUAGACAAAUAAGGUAGUUUGGUGAAAUGUUUAAAAAUCAACUUUAGCUCCCUCGGUAGAUUGAAGAGUUGAUGCUCUCAAUCUAAAUGUGGGUGGCACUACUUACUUGGAUAUCUAGCGUGCCUCAUUAGAAUCUUGCUCUAGCCACAUAGCUAGGGCAUUUAAAUGUGAAAAGUGGGGAGAGUACCUAUGAAAUUUGUGUAAGGCCAUAGUGUUUCGAAAUGUUAUCCCAAAGUCCCAAAUUAUGGAAAGGAAAAGGAACAAUCCUCUAAUGUAACGACAAAGGAUAUGGUCACAUGGUGUGGAAGUCAUAAAGGACAGUGGGACUUAAUGGUCGGGCCUUUGAACCUUGAUUUAGUGGCGGUGUUAGUAAGCAUGGCCAUGGAUGAAGAAGGACUUAAUGGCAACAAAAGAAGGGACAUUAGGGAAGGGUGUUCUCUAUAUUUCUAAGCAUUUUAAAGGUGCUAAGGUGUGGUUAAGGGAUUGUCAAGACUCGUAACAAGAUCAAGAAAGCUCUAUUUCGUUAAAGUGGGAUUUAUUCAGUAAAAUGGGACUAGGUACAAAUUUUCAAGUAUUUGAAAAUGACGUGAAAUUAUAUGUUUUUUGUCCAGGGGCUAGACAUAUCUGGGGCAUGGUGACUAGCGCGGUGACUUUGUGUCCAGAAUGAGUCCAUCUGGUUGUAUAAUAAAUCUCAUUGUCAAGGUGAACAAGCCGAAUCUGAAGCUAAAGAAGAGCGAUGGCAUGCGCGCACACACUAUUUGUUUGUUCAUUGAGCGUGUGGUGAGCUUUCCAAGAUGAACGUCAUUCCUAUUAGCCAGACAUAUAACUUAAUGGUGAGAACAUUUAGAUAUUAUUCAAUGUUAUCUUUUUCUAAUGAAUCUAAUUGUGAAGGUGUAGCAAGAGGCAUUGCUAGUCUGGAGAAGUCAUUUAACUCAUUUGACCCUUAGUGUAUUUUCAUGAAACUAAAUAACAUUCAUAUUAUUAAGGAAUUUCUCUAGUACCUUUUUUUUACGACAUAGAGGCUUGCAUUUCUUUCAAAGGUGAUAUAGUAAAAGGCCUGAGGGCACAUGCCAUUCUAUUUCUCAGACCGGUAUUAAGAUAUACUAGUGCAAAGGGCCACAUGCCAUCACGCCUCCUCUGAUUCAGAUUCGGAUUGUUCACCUUGAAAUAAAAUACAUUAGAAACUUAGUAAAGGAAUAUUAAUGAAUCUCACCUUGAACCCGGGUUAUGAAUGCUCUUGCUGCAUCUCUUGCAUGGUCUGGCAAGGUGAUGGUGGCACUUUGCUUCCGCAUCCAACCAUGCACAACAUUAUCCACCGAUAUGCUCAUGCUGGGAUCCCUUGGAUUCAGCACCCAUCUCUUUUCUAGGCAAUCCUUCGUAUAUCCGGAACUUGGCUUGAACCACUCCACAGUUACAUUGAAGGAGUUAGUUUCCGCGUCCUCCUCUGCAUCAGUGAUGCAGCGCCCCACCCAUAUCAUUUGUUUUUUAUUACUGGGUCUGACAAGCACGACCAUUCCUUUGCAGACCUGUACUGGAUUGAAUGCUGAAUCCGGCUUCUUGUUCCUCGGCCCACAAUAGUGAUUCUCAACAUCGUUAUCUGUCACUGCAUUUCUAGAGGACAUUGUUCUGCUACUAUCUGGUGCUCUGGGUUUUGGCCAAAAGGACUCUUCCAAUUCUUCAUAUACAACCGGCCCAUUUUGGAUAGUAGAUAUAAUCUUCUCCCAGUAUUCGAGCAAAGGCUUGCACCUCUUAAAAUAGGAUUCUCCACCAAACACCAACCCCCUCUUCUAGAAGGCAAUAUGCUGUCUAAUCCCGGCCACUAUACUUUCCUGGUCUUUGAGUCCAUCCGGGUGCAUCAGCCGUGGGGAACCCUGAGGAAUCAUAGGUUCCCCAGUUAUGGGAUGUCUCUUGAAGAGUUCAAUGCCAUCCACUGGCAGCCACACUGUGUCCCAUUCUCUCAUCUUGUACCUCAUCACUGGAGCACCGUCACGCAUGCUGAAAUGAAACUGAAGAGGCUUGGAGUGGCCAAUCAGCGUUUCGGAUCCGUCCCUGAUGUAGCCUCUUACAAACCCCUUAAAGUCUGGAACCUCUGUCACAAGUGCAGCUUCAACAGUGCCUUUGAUGCAAUUUUGGAAUUCAUUGUAGAGUUGUGGGAGGGUGAGGACAUUGGAUCGCCGGAGGGACUCUGCCAGGUGACUGAACAUGGCAUCGACGUCUUCAUGAGUGUGCCCAACCAUGAGAAAGCCAAGUGUAACCGUUUCAAAUAUGCCUUUGGCAACAAGCAUCGCCAAGUACGCAAAGACGUACAUGUUUUUGUUCUCACUGCCAGCAUUGUCUGUUUGGAGCAGAAGAUGGGGUGGAAGGCCACAUCGGCCGCAAGAACUUCCUUGAGAUUCUGCUUCGUUUGGAUGAGGCUGUGCAUUCACCGGGCGACCAGCCUCGUCGGAAUGGCAUGAGGCCUCACGUGAUAACCCUACAAUCUGACGGCCAACAUAUUCACUGGGAUGGCAUGGGGCCCCACGCGAUACUGCAAGCCUUUGCUCCUCCUCCAGCUGAACCCUGUAUGGGGUUCGAUCGACAAGGGCCUUAUGCAAGGGUUGGCCGUUCAGCUCAGUCUGCGCACUUUGCAGAGACCUUAAGUGUUUUGCUAGGGACGCAAUCAUCAUGUUUGCACCCCCGCCACCCCAUAGAGGUACAAAGAAGUUCCCAUAGUUCUGGGCACCAUGCCCAUGAGCGAUUAUGCCAAACAGAGACACAGGCAGCUGCAUGGAUGAAGAGAUUGCCUUGGGGGCAGGAUUGAGUCGAGGUAAGCACGUCUUUUUCUGGUCCAUUUUGUCGUGGAUGAUGCAGAGGUAAGAGUCAGGUCUCUCCAUGGAGAGAAUCCUGUUAUGAUAAUAUGCAGUCCUGCAGCUUCUCUGCUCGAUGUUGUGGUCGAGCCGCCUUCUAACCAACAUCUCUCGCUCUUGAGCGCUGCAGUCAACAACUUGGAGGUCUAGAAGACCAAGUACCUCUUGGCAACUCUGUUAAGGUGCCAAGGUGAGAUCACUAGGUGAUCUUAUGGCCAGAUAAGGACAAGGUCCUUGGUUGGCUAAGGAAUGAAGUCCCUGGUUCAAAAUGUUGAAAUUGAACUGUUUAAGAUGGUGUGGCUUGGUCGUGAUGACCAAGUGGGAAGAGCACCUAAGGGAAAUAAACUAUGUCUGUCCGAUGGCAUAGUGAGUCUGAGGAAAGUAGUCUCUAUAAAAAACCCAUGGGAGGGUCACGAAGUUGGGCCAUGGAUAGAGCCCAUAGCAGAAUAUGCUAAAGAGACAUACUAGGGGUGAACAUCCUCCGGACUUGGCAAAGAAGAGUCUUUGCUAUGGAACCAAAAGUAUACCUCAAAAAUGGAGGUAGUGAUCCGAUGUUGCUGAGUGCAACAAUCAAGGAUAGGAGCAAAGGACUAGUGGCCAAAGUUUGGGCCAUGGAAUUUUAUGGAAGGGAUCCAAAUGGCAAAGUUAGCCAAGGAACACUAAUGUGUUCGAUGCUAACAGCUUGUGGGAAAGGAAGCGGACUUUCAAGGAUGGAUUCCUAAGUGCUCCAAUUUGGCGAAGUAAAGGCUCCAAGUGAGGGAGCGGUAAGGUAGCCAAAUGAUAGGGCCAUGGACAGCCCUAGCACAAAGUAUGAUAAAUGGAACUUAGUGCCCAAGGUGGCACGAAAUAGAAGAGAGGAUGAUGGUGCCCUCAAGUAAUGAACUUCCUAGGAUAGGGAAGUGGAGUUGCACAAUCUGUGCAAUGCAAGGUGUUGGAGACACCUAGGAAAUUGACUUCCAAAAAGUCAAAAGAGUAAAAGUUCCAAGGUGCAAACAUUCAAUAGAUGGAAAUUGAGACUACUCGAGAAGGAGUAGUGGGAUUGACUUAGAGAAGGGUCUCUAAGAGGUUUAGCGAGAACUAAACCAAUAAAAGGAGAGAACCAUUACAUGUGGUCCAAUCAGUCUCUAAGUUGGAGAGACUACGCUCCUUAAAGGAUGGACAAGGCAUGGUGAGCCUUUGGUGUCAAACCAUAGACAAAGAUUGGCUAAGUGCUAAGGAUGGAAAUGGUAACACGUGUGGGUGUUACUUUAUGAAAGGGUUUACCGUUCGAUGAGGACAUCGAACUUCGUCUAUGGGUGGUGGAGUUGUGAGACACAAAAUCCCUAGGCCCCAAAGUGGAGCCGGAAAGGGUGCCACAUGGUAGUGGCUGAAGCGAGAGCCAAACGAGCGUAACACGUUUGGACCAAAAGCUCCGACUUGAAAAGUCAAGAGCGGGAGUGGAACUCCCAAAGAAGUGCUCGAGGAACGAGCACGAAGCGAGCAAAAAGCGAGGCUCCAAAAAGGGACCCAAAAGGACCAACACAUGACACGUGGGAGAGUCCGAGAUGGAGUCCGAAGUGGAGUCCGAGGUGGACCCGAGAUGGACCCGAGAUGGAGUCCGAAGCGGAGUCCGAGGUGGACCCGAGAUGGACCCGAGUUGGAGUCCGAAGUGGAGUCCGAGAUGGACUCGAGUUGGAGUCCGAAGUGGAGUCCGAGAUGGACCCGAGUUGGAGUCCGAAGUGGAGUCCGAGAUGGACCCGAGUUGAAGUCCGAAGUGGAGUCCGAGAUGGACCCGAGAUGGAGUCCGAGAUGGAGUCCGAAGUGGAGUCCGAGGUGGACCCGAGAUGGACCCGAGAUGGAGUCCGAAGUGGAGUCCGAGGUGGACCCGAGAUGGACCCGAGUUGGAGUCCGAAGUGGAGUCCGAGAUGGACCCGAGAUGGAGUCCGAGAUGGAGUCCAAGAUGGAGUCCGAGGUGGACCCGAGAUGGACCCAAAAUAGAGUCCGAGAUGGAGUCCGAGAUGGAGCCCGAGAUGGACCCGAGAUGGACCCGAGAUGGAGUCCGAGAUGGAGUCCGAGAUGGAGUCCGAGAUGGAGUCCGAAGUCGAGACCGAGACCGGGACCGAGACCGAGACCGAGACCGAGAUCGGGACCGAGACCGAGACCGAGGCCGAGGCCGUGACCGAGCCCGAGUCCGAGUCCGAAUCCGAGUCCGAGUCCGAGUCCGAGUCCGAGUCCGAGUCCGAGUUCGGAGCCUGAGAGGGUGAAAGCCCAAAGCGUUCGUCUCCCAGACCCUGGGGGGUUUGGUGAGCUCCAAAAGUAUAGUAAGGGGGAGGACUGCAGUGGAGCCAGUUUGGCCAGGAAAGGCCAGUUUGGCCCAGGAAGGCCAGACCCAGUGUUGGGUGAUGAACUGACCACUGGGAAGUCCAAGACUAGAGUGAAUACGGACCGACAAGCGGGGUAGCUUGGUGAAGUGUUCAAGAGCCGGCUCUAGUUCCCCCGGGAGAUCGACUGGCCGAUGCUCCCAAUCCAAGUGUGGGUGGCACUACCUACUUGGAUACCAGACGUGGCUCAACGGAACCUCGCUCUAAGCCCAUGGCUAGAGCACCUAAAGGCGAAAGGCGGGGAGAGUACCCAGGUGGCUCGCGUAAGGCCACGGUGUUCCGAAAUGUUGCCCCAAAGGCCUAGACUGUGGAAAGGAAGAGGAGCAGUCCUCUGGGGUAGUGACCAAGGACAUAGUCGUGUGGUGAGGAAGUCCCAGAGGACCAUGGGACUUAGUGGUCGGGCCUGUGGGCCUCGAUCCAGUGGCAGUGUUGGCAAACACGGCCAGGGGCAGAAAGGCACUUGGUAGGAACUGACAAAGGGACUUUGGGGAAGGCGAUUCCCCAGGUCUGUGGGCAUCCUAAGGAUGCUAAGGAGUGGAUCUAGGAUGACCACUCAUGGACAGAUGGCCCAGUCUUGGAGAGACGGGAUGGUGAUGCAAGUGGUAUUGGACCACUAGUGCAGCAAAGGUGAAUGGGCAUGGCCUUAGCGUAACGGGCCGAGAUGUCAAUGGUACCUUUAGGUGUCGGUCUUGGGACCGGACACGUGGAGCACUUGGACCAGGUGCAAGUGUUGAGUGGCAUCGAUGCCAUUCUUGGGGCUAGCAAGUCCCAAGUCCUGAAUUUAAUUGAUGGAGGUUGUGAAUGAGACUCCUCCAAGUGGUCAGAGGUGUGGUUAAGUGACUAAAGUAAAAUGGAAAAUUUAGUCGCUUAGAAAAUGAUCUACGUAUUUGAUCCUCCAUCCCCGAUGGCUCUCUUUUCAGUCUCAUCUUUGACCAAACCUCAAGCUUGCUUUCGCAUUGCCUUCAGUUCAAUCGAAGAAAAGUUUAUGAGAGAGCACGGCAAUGAUUACUUGAACCAAUAGACUAUUCCCUACAGUCUUGAUUGAUCCACUUAUAAUCAUGCCUAGGAAGGAUCCACUAGUGCCAUGCUAAACAGCUACGGACCAGCCUAUUUGCCACUCAUAACAAACCCAGGGAAAGUUUAUUUGCACCCAUGGUACAUGGAACAACUCAUGGAACCACCGAUAGGCUAACAUUAAUCCUGCCAACUCAAAGUGUAACCUCGAGUUGCUAAUGUGCCUCACUCACGAGCCCAAGCGCAAACUCAUGUAACGGAACAACUCAGUCCACCUUAUUGUAAGCAACCAAAGGGAACGACUCGAGAGACGAUCCGUUGGGGUUCAAAUAUAGAGGGAAAGGGCCCAUGAAUAAGAGUGCACCCCCUUUUCCAAUCGGUUAAGGGUCUUGGGAUAUUUGGAGUUAAGCGUCCUUGGGUUUGAAUAGUACUGGGCUGGGUGACCUCCCGGGAAGUCCAAACUCAGGAGUUUACACCUAUGAGCCCAAGAGCAAGCUCAUAUAAUAUAGAACAAAAAGGUAACCAAAACCUAUCCCAAAGAACCAAUGCGAAGUCUUUGCACCAAAACGUAUACCCACUCAGAUCAUCGUUUUCAUCUCUGUGUAUGCAACGAGACUAGUUUCCCAAUGAGACUAGUUGCCCAAUCUCAUUGGAUAGUUCUCGCCGAGACUCUACCUCUGAUACCAAAUGUAGCACACGUGGUUUUGACCCUUUAUCCUAUGGUGAUUUACCAUAGGAUAACACCACGAAGCGGAACCUAAACCCUCUUUGUGCCACGUGACAGAUGCCACGUGUCACAUGCCACGUGUCCAUAGGAACCCGAGGUUUAGGGCCUUGGGCCACUGAACGAAGGAACGGUGCCAAACUCCCAAGCAUGGAGCCAAGGAGUGAUGGAACCGGACCACGGAGCAACUCCCGAGCAUACAGCCCAAGGAGCGAAGGGACAGUCCUCUGGGGUAGUGACCAAGGACAUAGUCGUGUGGUGAGGAAGUCCCAGAGGACCAUGGGACUUAGUGGUCGGGCCUGUGGGCCUCGAUCCAGUGGCAGUGUUGGCAAACACGGCCAGGGGCAGAAAGGCACUUGGUAGGAACUGACAAAGGGACUUUGGGGAAGGCGAUUCCCCAGGUCUGUGGGCAUCCUAAGGAUGUGAAGGAGUGGAUCUAGGAUGACCACUCAUGGACAGAUGGCCCAGUCUUGGAGAGACGGGAUGGUGAUGCAAGUGGUAUUGGACCACUAGUGCAGCAAAGGUGAACGAGAGCCCCCCCCCCCCCCCCUUGAGGAACACACGCUUUGGGCUUAGCCUCCCUUAGUAUCAGGAGUUAGUCUCUGGGACAAGCUCGAAACUUACUAAAUAUGGAAUGUCCUUAGAAUGCGAAUUUGGACACAGGACGAACAUUAUUGUGUUCAGGCUGAUCUCUACAUUCCGUAGAUAUGCCAAAUGAGCAAAUCUAAACACUUUCCAUAAAUAGCAUUUGGGACCGAAAUGAAACUAACACAAAGGGCAUGAUAGCGAGGGUGUUUGGCAGACACGGUAAGCUGUCAUCUAGCGAUAUUGAGGGACCAAGCUCAAUAUCGCGGGGGUUCCAAACACUAGCAAGUGCAAGCCAACAUCAUGAGUUUCUCAUCACCGUGUCAAGUCUGCUUGACUAAAUGACAACUUAGGAUUUCCUUCCUUAGUGCCCUUCCGGUUUAAGUGCACAUGUGAUGACCAGUUUCUCAACUAGCUUAGGCAGAGAUUGAUAAUGAGCCCAGCAAUACCAACCUCCUGCCAUCGUGGCAGUAAGAAAGAAUAUCCGAAAGGACUAGCCGACAGGUAACUUUCGAUACUUGAAGUCACAUUCGCGACAAUGACAAAGUAGCAACCUCCUCCUUUUUUGACUUUGAAGCAAAAAUUAAUGUAGUUACUUGAUGCUAUAUGGUUGUAAUUGAGCAAUUUGUCAUAAAUGUGACUUUGAGUAUCGAAAGUUACCUGUCGACUAGUCUUUACAGACAUUCUUUCCUUACUGCCAUGAUGGCAGGAGGUUGGCAUUGUUAGAUCCUUUAUCAGUCUCCACCUAAGCUAGUUGAGAAACUGGUUAGCACAUGUGCACUUAGACCAGAAGGGCACUAAGGAAGGAAAUCCUAAAUUGUCAUUUAGUCAAGCAAACUUGAUAUAGUGAUGAGAAAACUCAUGAUAUUAACUUGCACUUGCUAGUGUUGGGAACCCCCGCGAUAUUGAGCUUGGUCCCUCAAUAUCGCUAGAUGACAGCUUACGGUGUCUGCCAAACACCCUNNNNNNNNNNNNNNNNNNNNNNNNNNNNNNNNNNNNNNNNNNNNNNNNNNNNNNNNNNNNNNNNNNNNNNNNNNNNNNNNNNNNNNNNNNNNNNNNNNNNNNNNNNNNNNNNNNNNNNNNNNNNNNNNNNNNNNNNNNNNNNNNNNNNNNNNNNNNNNNNNNNNNNNNNNNNNNNNNNNNNNNNNNNNNNNNNNNNNNNNNNNNNNNNNNNNNNNNNNNNNNNNNNNNNNNNNNNNNNNNNNNNNNNNNNNNNNNUAAAAGCCCAAAGUGUGUGUCCUCGAGGGGGGCGGGGGGGGGGGGGGUUAAGGGGGGUUUCAAAUGUAUAUGUAGGGAUAAUGGGUAGGUCAGGCAUGGCUGACCAACCUGAGGCAUAGUUUAACUCUUACUUGCAUGUCUAUCCUUGUUCUACGUCCGGCUUGGGUCUAAACCCAAGUUCCAUAUCAUACUAGUUGGUGGAGUACCCAUAUCCUUGCGUUAGGCUAUUGGUAUGCUGAAAUAGUGCUAAACUCCGUUUGGCUCCGUUUUGCGUGUUGGUUUUGGCAUUAGGAUGUUGGAUGCUCUAUGCUCUUGUCCCUUCGCUCCUCAGGCUUUAUGCUCGAGAAUUGUUCUAUGUCCCAAUGCCAUUGCUCCUUGGCUCUAUACUUAGGAGUUUGGCACUGUUCCUUCAUUUAUCGCCCCAAGCCCUGAAACUUGGGUUCCACACCAUUGUCCUUUGGACAUGUGGCAUAUGUCAUGUGGCAUAAGACACGUGGCACAUGGUGGGUUAGGUUCUGCUUCAUGGUUAUCCUAUGGUAAAUCACCAUAGGAUAAAGGGUAAAAACCACGUGCACUAUAUUUGGUAUCAAAGAGUGAGUCUUAGCAAAUACUAUCCAAUGAAAUUGGGCCACUAAUCUUGUUGCAUAUGUAGAGAUAAAAAUGAUGAUCCAAGUGGUUACAUGUUUGGGUGCAAAGGCUUUUUAUUUAUUCAUUGGGUAUGGAUUUUGGUUACUUUUUUGUACUAUAUUAUGUGAGCUUGCUCUUGGGCUCAUAAGAUGGACUGAGUGAGGCACAUUAGCACGAGUUUGCACUUGGGCUCGGGAGUGUGGCACAUUAGCAACUCAAGGUUAUGCUUUGAGUUGGCAGGAUUAAUGUUAGCCCAUUAAUGGUUCCAUGAGUUGUUUCUUGUACCCUGGGUAAAAGUAAACCUCCCUUGGGUUUGCUAUGAGUGGCAAAUAGGCUAGUGUAUAGCUGUUUAGCACGGCACUAGUGGAUCCUUCUUAGGCAUGAUUAUAAGUGAACCAAUCAAGAUUAUAGGGAUUAGUCCAUUGGUUUAAGUAAUCAUUGCCAUGCUCUCUCAUAAACUUUUCUUAGAUUAGACUGAAUGCAGUGCAAACACAAGCUUGAGGUUUAGUUAAAGAUGAGACUGAAAAGAAAGUUAUCAGGGACAAAGGAUCAAACACGUAAAUCAUUUUCUCUUCUUGGAGAGAUGAUUUGCAACGAGGUGUUAACUCAUUGCUCAUAUUCACAUCAUGCAAUCAAGAGUCCCUACCUUGAUGCAUAUUAGAAGUGAUGAUCUUACAAGUGGUGAAUCAUGGGAUGGAUAGCGAUGAAGCGCUAAACUAUUUUGUUUAGGCUUGCCAUUAAAAGACUUGGGUUACAAUGCUCAAAUCUUUUCCAAGGAACCUUGUUAUUGCUCAUUGAGUAGCUUGGUGUUGGAUUAAUUUUGAGUUUGGUCAGAAAGAGAGUGGCAUGAGCUUGUCUAUGUUAUGAACAAAAAUUAAUGGUGUUGAGUGUUGUAAAUUUCUAUUGGUGGGGUGUCACAUUUAUGUUGCAUUUUAUCAAAUCGAGUUAUGAUACUCAUAUAAACUUUAUAGUAGUGACAUAAGCAUUAUUCAUAGUGUUGCUCGAUCGAUGAUCAAGUUAUUGUGAUUUUUUUAUCAUAUUCAUGUGAUAGUGAGCAAUGUAUUUACGAAGUUGCUUAGUUAAACAAUGAUCAACCCCAAAGUGGGUGAUAGUGAAGCUAAUCUACUUUAUAUAGUAGCAUUUAAGUAGCUUUGACUAAGUUCUCAAUGGUGAUUCAUUAUGCUAAGCUUGAGUUAGUACAUUGUUUCCUUGAGUUUGCCUAUAAGGUGUUGGAAAAAGUUGUAGCAUUCAUUUAUUAUAGCUUGUCGAUUAAUCCAUUAGCAUUUAGAGUAGAUUGUUGGAUGGAGAAGAUGUGUAGUUGAGGCAUUAACAUCACUAGUACUUGUAUUAGUGGAAGUGGUAUUGUUAUUUUGAGUGAUGAGGGAUUUUCCUUAGACCUUGAUAUGUCAUUUUUCUUAUUAGUGUUUUGGCUUCACGUUGGAUCUUGAAAGUGGUUGAAGAAGAGUGUUAGUGCAAUGUGGAUAUCCGAAGAUGUGGUCUUCGUGAUCAAGCCUUAGAUGUUCAAUUUGCAUUUUGCGGAUGUCGGUGUUAGAUGUUGGAAAAUGAGCAAAGAUGUUCGAUGCUUAACAUGCUGCUGGGUCAUAAAAAUUUGUGUUGAGGUGAACCUAUGUAAAGUUGUAAGUAGGAGGAAGUUGGUUGAGUUUUGAAAGUUUGCAUUCCUAUACUGAGAGUCAUUCUUUCUUUAGGAUGGAAAAUUUCCACAAAUUUUCUCUGACUUUUCCAAUGGCUGAUUUGUUGAUUAUUUUGCUUGAAAACCUUUCAGUUUUCUUAAGCUAGUAUAAACUAGUGAAAGGGUUGGAGUUGAUUUCAGUUAGCUUAGAUCUUAGUAAAUAGUUUGUAUAAUGCAGCUCAAAAGGGAUGCUGACUUUUGAGGUUAAAAGCAAUUGAGUUGGAUAGAGUCUGGAGUUGGUGUAGAAAAGUGGCCAUUACACUUUUCUAGAAAGGUGGCCCUUAUGCCUUUCUUUAUAGUAUUUUGCUUAGUGGCAACUUGCACUUUGCAUUUCAUUAAACUCUAUAAGAGUAGUGAGCUCUCACUGAUCUUGACUUAGUCUUGGUAGUUUUGUGCCUUGGUUGAGGAUGGUGAUAUCCAACUUAGUUGUUUGAGGUUGAGAUGUUGGUGCCCAUACUAUAGCUUUGUUUAUGAGGAGGUUGUGUACCAAUAUGAGUCCAUCUCAUAGUCUUCACUUUAAUUUUGACUAAGUGUUGAUUAUGCAUAACUAGCCUCUUCAAGGCAUGUUUAGAGCUAUUGACUAAACGUGUUGGUGAGUUUAUUGUGGUAGAGUUAGAUUUGAGUGGUUAUUUAGUUUAUGCUUGUCCAUAAACCUUUAUCUUGUACCUAGUAUUACGUUUAUAUUGGACAAGUAUAUGACUUGAUGACAUAAGUUUAGUGUUUGGGUAUUAUGAAAGGCAAGUUGAAGAGUGAUUGUUGGUUGCUUUGCAACUAAUGAUUGCUUGUAGAUUUCAUUAAAGACUAUUGACAUUUACUUCGCUCGAUGAUGAUUUAGCAGUGAUAAACUUGCUUUACCAAAUGGUGUUGUGGAGGAUCGUAUCAUUAGACUUACAUGGUUUCCAUGUUAGCAAAUCGAUUCCUUUGUCAAUGUUAUUUUGGUUGUGUUUAAUCCGUAGUGUUAGAUUUCAUUGAGUCUUGGAUAUGGUGAAUCACUCCUUGAUGAUAUGUUAUCUAUAACUGAGUUUGUUAAAGGUUGGUCUCAGAUACUAACCAAGGUAUCUUUGACUUUUGUUAGCUUGGUUGCUAGAAAGGUUUUGGUGGUGAUUCACUCUUGCUUUCUUUUAGCUUUGUUUUGGUGUUGAUGGCAUUGAAGUGAUGUCUUGCCAUUGACAUUAUUAUUGUUGAGAUUCAAGUGGGAUGAAAUGCCUUUCCAUGGGAUUGAUAUUGAGUUUCAUUAAUCUCAAUGUAAAUAGUGUUGAUGCUUGGGUUGUAGCUUUAUAUUAUUGGAGAUUCAAACACUCCAAUAUUGAUCACCAACUCUUCCUCUUGUAGAGUUAGCAUUGUCCACAACUAAAUCACUUUUUAGAAAAAACUCAAAGCUCAACCUUUACUAAACAAUCUCAUCUAGAACACAAUUAACUCAACUUGCAACCCAGCUCAUUUGAAUGCCUUUCCAAAGAGGAGGAUUCAUUGUUCAUCAUAAAUGCUGAGUUAGGGAGUUUACCACCCAUGGCUCUUCCUACACAUAUUCCACAACAAGGCACUAACUUGGCAUACUUCUAUGAUAAUAGUGACAUCUCCACCAAGGUAUAUGUCACUUCAAGCAAUAUUGUGAAUUGAAUAGCAUUGUCAAGGAUAAUCACAAGUUUUGUGACUUCUUGUGAUUGCUCACUAGUCGAGGAGUAGCAUGGGUAGAGACUCUCUUGGAGGUAGACAUGUCUGACUACUCCACAUUCAAAGCAUCUUUUCAAGGUGACUUUGAUUAGUAGCAACGAAUGAAUCGCUUACUUAUGAACUUGUUCACUUUUUGGCAAGGAGCACGGGAAUUUAUGCUAGAGUAUGUGAUGUUGUUUAGGUCUUAUUGGAAAGAGUGUGUCUAGCAUAAGGUUAUCACAAAUGAACCUCAUGGCAUCAUUGCAUUCAUCUUUAGCCUCAAGGGAAAUCUCCAACCCAAGAUGUUCAAGUGAGAGUUUUAAACAUAUCAUAAGGCAUUCACUAUAGUAGAAACUUUAGAGUGGGAUCUUUCCUAAGAGCUCAAGAUUUAUAUGGUAGAGGAGGCUUUUCUCCCAUCUUUUGACAGGAGCUUAUAUGCUACUAUGGUCCAUUCUUCUUUAGCCGUAUAUAGUGAUGAUAUAAUUCCCUCAAUGAUUAAGAAGGUGUUGUUGAAGCUUGCAAGAUAUAAGGAGAUCAUUUAGCAACAACAACAAAUGCAAGAGAAGUUGCUUGAGUUCUAGCUCCUUGCCUAUAUACUUGCCCUUAUUUUAUGUCUGGCUUGGGUCUAAGCCUAAUUGUUGCAGCCAUGGGCAUCUUGAGAGAGAGAGGGAAUAUUUUGAUUCUUGAAAUAUUCCAAAUGGUUGUAUUAAAACCCCGCAAAAGCAAAAAUAUCAAGGAGUUCUACACUUUGUGUCUUAAGCUAGAGCAUGGAGAGAGAGCUUAGGACAUGAGCAAAGCCACAGAAAGGAGGAGGAUUAAAGCGCCAAACUUUAACACAAGUUUCAUACUAUGUUAGCUAGUACAUAAAAUGGAGCUAAAUAGUGUUUAACACUACUUCAGCAUACUAGGGGCCUAAUAUAAAGAUAUGGGUCUUAUGCUGGUCUUAUCAUUGGUAUAUUAAAUGUUUUAGAACUAUUCUAAUAUCACUUUAUGCUUUUGUCCCUUUGCUCUCUAGGUUGUACCUUUAUGAGUCAUUUCGUGAUCUAAUUCCUUCACUCCUUGGUUGUAUGCUUGGGAGUUUGGCUGUGUCCCUUUGUUUAGUGUCUAAAGGCCUUGACACUUGUUCCACUCCACUACCCUUGGCCACAUAUCCAAGGUGUAUGGUUCUACUCCGUGAUUAUCCUAUGGUAAAUCGUAAAUCACCAUAGGGUAGAGGGUGAAAAUUAUAUAUUCUACAUGUUUUAAUGCAAAAUUUAAACUCUGCUGACUAUAACAUAUAUGGUUUUCACUAUUUAUCCUAUAAUGAUUUACUAUAGGAUAACCACGAAAUAAAAUGUUAACCUUUGGCUACAUGCCAAGGGCAAUGGAGUAGAAUAUAAGGUUUAGGGCUUUGGGCCACUAAAUAAAGUGAUAGAGCCAAACCCCCAAGCAUGUAGCCAAGGAGCAAAGGAACUGGAAUACAAAGUGACUUCUAAGCAUUCAACCCAAAGAGCAAAAUGACAAAAGCACAGAGCAACAAAGGAAUAAUCCUAGAGCAUAUUAUAUCCAAUGCCAAGAUUAACAUGCAAAAUGAAGCCAAAUAAAGUCUGACACUAUGGAUAGAUCCAAGCUGGAUGUAAAACAUGGAUAAACAUACAAACAAAAGCUAGACUAUACCUCAGGUUAGUGGGCCAUUCCUGACAUACCCACUAUCUCUAUUAUACCCUAUAUUCCCUAAAUAACUAAUAGGACCAAAACAGGACUAACACUAUAAGUGACUAAUUUUUCCAUUUUACUUUAGUCACUUAACCACACUUUUGACCAUUUAGAGAAGUUUUAUUCACAACCUCUAUAAAUCUUCUUCAGAACUUGGGGAGAUAUUAGCCUUGUGAAUGGCAUUUAUGCCACUUAGCCUUUGCACUUGGUCCAAGUGCUCCAUGUGUUCAAUCCUAUGACCGACACCCAAAUGUACCAUUGAUAUAUCAGCCCAUUAUGUUAAUGCCAUGCUUAUUCAUCUUUGUCACAUUGAUAGUCCAAAACCACCUGCAUCACAAUCCUAUCUCUCAAAGAUUGGGCCAUCUGUCUAUAAAUGGUCAUUCUGUCAGGAAUCCCCCAAUUCUUGCCACAUUCUUGACUCUCACCGGAUUCCUCACCCACAGACCAUAUUCCGGACUCUCGAGACACUUCCCUAUUCCUGACUCUUUGAUUUCCCAUAUGAUUCCUGAUUCUUGAACCAUAUUCCUGAUAAUGAUAUGGCGGCUGCUCGACCUCAGUUAUAUUUAGGCCGUCCUCUGUAGUGCAUGUGAUCAUGGGAUGAGAUUUGGAUAUACUAUCACCAUAGAUCUUUGGAACCUUGGGGGAUAAAUGGGGAUAAAAUAACCAUUAAGAGUUCUCUUAUCAAGCAAUUGCCCCUUUUCCAGUUGGCUUAAAGGGAGAGAGAUAAGGUGCGCUACAGUUGGUAUCAGAGAAAAUGGCAUGGGUUCGAUUCCUAUUGAUUAGUGGCUAUUUAAAAAUAUAAUAUACCCUUGAGCAAGGUAUAUUCCUACCCCUAAAUUUGAAAUCGUACGUAUUGGACAUCCAUGUGUACGUCCUUCUUUUUGCGUGGAGUAUCCACGGAUGGAAAUAUCCACUGUAGGACUGUAGUACGGGUGGAUGAUUAGUUGCCUCACAUGGAAUAGUUGGUCUACAUAAUGGAAGGAUUGGUAGAUUAAGUGUGGAAAUGGAGGUGCUGGUUCCCUUAGCUCAGUAGGGGUUGUUAGUCAAUAGUCAAUGAGGACAUUGACAUCUAUGAAAGGGGGGUGAGUGUAGCGCAUGUGAUCAUGGGAUGAGAUUUGGAUAUACUGUCACCGUGGAUCCUUGGAACCUUGGGGGAUAAAUGGGGAUAAAAUAGCCACUAAGGGCUCUCUCAUCAAGCAAUUGCCCCUUUUCCAGUUGGCUUAAGGGGAAAGAGAUAAAGUGCGCUACAGUUCCUCGAUCCAAGAGUGGUAGAGCGUCAUCAACCUAUAGUAUAUAUAGGCUAGCCUUGUUCCAUUUUUCCACUAUCUGAAUCAACACCAGUCUAAGGCCUUUUCUUCGUCUUCACUAGCUUUUCUCUUUGUCUUUUGCAUUUUCCAGUUUUGAUCUUGUUAGGGAUCUUGACAGUUUGAUUCAAAUUGUGCUUUUUGCUUUUGCUUUAGCUCGUUUGAUUGUUUGAUUGCAUUUGCCUUUUUCCCCCUUUUCUUUCUUCUUUGCUGAUGGAGUCUCCAAGCCAUCCUAAUUUCUUGGCUAAAGUCCUUGCAAAAAUCCAGUAUAAGAAUACCAAGUUGAAGGUGGCCCUUCUUCACAUCCAAUAGGAGCUUGCUUCACUUUUGGCUCAAGGAUCAAGUAGAGUUCCUGAACCGAAGGUGAGUUUCUCGACGAAGUUCUUAGGCAAGUGUUUAGAGCUUCGCGGAUUCUUGAACUAGAUGGAGCUGAUCUUCGCACUUCAACAUCGGCGGUACCCCACUCCCAAGUCUCAAAUCGACGCAAUCAGGAUGUUGCUCUAAGGUGCAGCUUUGUCAUGGUUUUCUCCUCUCUUGGAGAAGAGCAUGAAAGAGGUCGUGGUUCCGAAGCUAAUGGAUCUUCAGUUGUUCAAAGAGAAGCUUGAAGCAUGUCUUGGCGAGACGGAUCAAUUUUGGGCUGCCACCACAAAGAUGAGACGUCUCUCUCAAGGGUCUUAUCCUGCCUCAAUCUAUGCUGCGGAGUUCCAACUCCUUGCCUUGGACACUCAAUGGGAUGAGCUGGCCCUGAUUGAUCAAUUUCGCUUCACCCUUAACAACGGUGUCAAGGAUUUGUUGCUAACCAUGGAGGAUCCCACGGACCUAUUGCAUGCCAUCAACAAAGCUGUUCGAUGCAACAAUUGUCUCUUUGAACAUCAUUAGGAAAGUCGCCGUGCCACUGUUUUCCGUCCUAGACUCAGAAAUCCCAGCUUGAGUCUUUGGGGCAUACUUCUGAACCUACUGCUUCAGUUCCGAUGGAUAUUUCUGGUACUCCCUGACUCAUCAGAGGGAAGUUGAGUCCUACUGAGAAGCAACGUCGAGUAUCUCAGAAUCUUUGCCUCUACUGUGCUGAUCCUAAUCAUAAAGUAGUUGUGUGUCCCAAGAAGCCUCCCCAACUGCUUGAGUUUACUCUGCCUCAAGGUCCACCUCUGUUGCAGUCGGGAAAAGACCAUGUCAAAAAAAAGUAGGACCUAUCUGUUUGGACUCCCCAAAUAAAAAUCACUUUGUUCUUUAUCAAGCUCCUCACCACCUUUCAUCAAAGCUACCACCAAUUCCCACAACUUCCGCAUCCCAUAUCUCCUUUCUUUCACCGGAUAAUUAGGACUCAAGGCUCUGGCACUACUGGACUCAGAUGCAACUUCUUGCUUCAUGGAUAUGAACUUUGCUGCUUGACAUCACGUUCCUCUUUCUCCUACCAUAUGGGAUCUAAGGGUUGAAGGCAUCGGCAGGCAUUUUGUGUCUCCAUCUUUUAGACUUAGGGAAAUGUUGCCUAUUCGAGUACACAUUAGGUCCACCGUCACUGAUAUCGCCUUCAACAUCAUCAACAGCAAGUCCUCCUUUAUGGUGUUUGGCCUUCUUUGGUUCCAACUGCACCAGCCUCAAAUCUAUUAGAAGGAAUUAUAGUUCGUCUCUCCCACAUCACCAUCUCCCACGUCUUCCCUUACUGUUCAUCGAAUCCAAAUCAGGAAAAGUUCCCUAAACUCAAAUUGGGAUUUUGUUCUUGAAUCUACGAAGUUUUCACCCUCUUUGCUCCCUAUCCCUCAAUCUUCUUUUCCCUCUCUUCCAUCUUACACUGGACAAUAUCCUCGUCCCAUCAUUCCAUUCACCUGUACUAUCUCCACAAUCACUAUGAAAGAACUCCUUUAUGAAAAACUUGUUUUCCUUUUUGCUUUGCAUGUUUCUCCUGUCAGUCAACCUGAGAAGUAUCAUGAUUUUGGCAAUGUGUUUGACAAAAAAAAAGCUAGUGUACUACCUGUUUAUCGGCCUUAUGACUGUCCCAUUGAUUUAUAGGAAGGAGUGUCACCUUUGUGGGGGUCUAUCUACGAGUUAUCCCCGUCCGAGCUUAAUGCCCUCAAAGAGUACGUGGAUGAGAACUUUGCAUGGGGGUAUAUUCAGCAUUCACAGUCCCCGGUUGGAGCACCUAUCUUCUUUUCAAGAAGAAUGAUGGGAGUUUGCAGCUAGUCAUCAACUACCGAGGUUUGAACAAGGUAACUGUUCAAAACUGUUAUCUGCUGCCCCUGAUCUCGGACCUAUUGGAACACCUCGACGGUGCCUGCUUCUUCACCAAGAUCGACCUCCAUGGAGCAUACAACCUGAUCUGGAUUUAGCUUGGCGAUGAAUGGAAGACUACAUUCCGAACCCGUUAUGGCUGCUUCAAGUACACUGUCAUGCCAUUUGGCUCGACAAAUGCUCCAACAAUUUUCCAACACAUGGCGAACAACGUCUUUCAGGAGUUUCUUGAUUAGAUGGUGAUCGUCUACCUCGACGACAUCCUCAUCUACUCAAAAACUCAAGAGGAGCACGAUGAGCAUGCGUGCAAGGUGCUGGCAAAGCUGCAAGAACACGGCCUAUACACAAAGCUUGAGAAAUGUUCCUUCAAUCAAGAGUCUGUGGAGUUCCUUGGGUAUAUUGUCAUUCUUGAGGGUAUCAUGAUGGAUCCUACCAAGGUUUUCCUUGGCUUCGCCAACUUCUACUGCAAAUUUAUUGAUCACUACUCUGACAUUGUCCUUCCUCUCACACAUCUCACUCACAAGGAUGUUCCCUUCUCUUGGUUUGCUGCUACCUAGCAGGCCUUCAACACACUCAAGGUGGCCUUCAAUUUUGCUCUUAUCUUGAUCCAUACUGAUCCCUCACAACCUUUUUUCAUCGAGGCAAACGCCUCCGACUUUGCCAUCAGUGUUGUGCUAUCUCAACUCAGAGCGGUUUAGGUUUAGGAGUACCAACGGAUCAGGAAUUUCAUCCGGUCGCUUUCCAUUCUCGGAAAUUCCAGCCUAUGGAGAUCAAGUACAAAAUCCACGACAAGGAGCUCCUUGCCAUCAUGGAUUCCUUUGGAGAGUGGCAUCGUUUCUUGGAGGGGGUGAGCCAUCAAACAACGGUUUGGACGGAUCACAAAAAUCUCAAGUACUUUGCCACUUCCCAAGUUUUGAGCCAUCGUCAGGCAAGGUGGGCACAAUUCCUGAGUCAGUUUGACAUUGUUAUCAAGUACAGACCUGGAAAGCUUUAGGGCCUUCUUGAUGCUCUUUCAAGGCGCUCCUAUCUCAGUCUCAGGCUUAGUAAUCUUGCUUUCGAUCAACAGGAUCAGGUUAUCCUCAGUCCUGAUCGGCUUCAAGUUAUGGCAAUUUCCUCAUGACUGCUCCUUGAUGGAUGCCAUCAGAAACGAUCUUCAAUCCGAUGACCUCGCCAGCAAUAUUUUCCCCCAUCUUCAGGCUGGACACCCAGUGACUCCCGACUACCGGUGAUUUGACGAGUUCGAGUUCUUAGAUGGCUUAUUGUACCGUGAGGAGCAGCUUUACGUUCCUAAAGGUGAUGCUCGAAGGUUGGUCCUGAUGGCGUGCCAUGAUAGCCCGAUUACUAGUCACUUCGGUAUUGUGAAAAUUUAUAAGCUAGUUGCACGGGACUUUUGGUGGCCUCACAUGGAUGACUACAUCAAAGCUUUUGUUACCUCCUGUGACACUUAUGCCUGGAAUAAAGUACCUCACCACCAUCCUUCAGGUUUGCUUCGUUCCCUCCCGAUCCCUUCAGGUCCUUGGGAAUCCAUCUCCAUGGAUUUCUUGAGUGAUCUUCCGAGUUCUGGAGGCUUUAACAGCAUUUUAGUUGUGGUGGAUCACUUCACAAAGAUGGCACACUUCCUGCCAUGUAUUAACGAGUUUUCAGGCAAGGACAUGGCAAAACUGGUAUUCAGGGAAAUUUUCCAACUUCAUAGGAUUCUUGCAUAUGUAGUUUUGGAUCGGGGACUUUAGUUCAUCUCUCAUUUCUAGCAAUGGUUCUUGCAGCUGCUUGAGUGAAGGCCAACCUCUCUUCGUUAUAUCAUCCUCAAAUUGAUGGACAAUCCGAGCAAACGGUUUAGACGUUGAAACAAUUCUUGAGGUGCUUCAUCAAUUAUCAUCAAGAUGACUAGUUCAAUAUCCUUCCCUUUGCUAAGUUCUCCUAUAACAACUUCGUGCACUCCUCCCUUCAAGUUUCCCCUUCUUUGCAAACUCUAGCCGAAAUCCCCGAUUCAAUCUCUCACUUCCUUCUCCAUCUGAAUCCUCUCAUUCAAAUCCCCGCUUUGAGGCAUUUUUCUCCAACCUCUAGGAUAAUCCACAACUCCAUCUCCUUCCACCUCCAUCGUGCUCAGGAAUCUCACAAAACAAUCGCCAAUGUCCAUUGUCAAGAUUGUCCCUCUUACAAUAUCGGGGAUAAAGUCUGGCUCCUCAGGCGAAAUAUCUCCACCACCAAGCCAUGUCCUAAACUCGAUUUCAAACACCUUGGUCCUUUCCCUAUCAUUGCCAUCAUUAAUCUUGUCACUUAUCGCCUUGCACUUCCCUCCUCAUAUCAAAUUCACCCUGUUUUUCACUCUUCUCUCCUUGAGUCUUAUAUUCCCAGUCCUAUUCCAAAUCGGGUAAUUCCUUUGCCUCCACCAAUGUAGCUCAAGGAUGGGUUUGAGUACAAGGUUCAGGACAUCCUUGAUUCCAAGAUCUCACGGUCUAAACUCUACUAUCUAGUAGACUAGAAGGGUUAUGGACCUAAGGAACGCACUUGGGAACCUAUGGACAACCUGAUUCAUUCUCCUGACCUUGUUCAGGACUUCCACCGCUGCUAUCUUUCUCGUCCCAGUCCUCAUUCUUUUCAUUCUCCAUCUCCCGUCCCUCGAUGCCCAUCUCAUCCUCCUCUUCGUUCUCAUUCACAUCCUUGUUCCACUCGUUCUUGAGGAGGGGGUGCUGCCAAGAAUCCCCCAAUUCUUGCCACAUUCCUAACUCUCGAGACACUUCCCCAUUCUUGACUCUUUGAUUUCCCAUACAAUUCUUGAUUCUCGAACCACAUUUCUGAUGAUGAUAUGGUGCCUCCUCGACCUCAGCUAUAUUUAGGCCGUCCUUGAUCCAAGAGUGGUGGAGCUUCAUCAACCUAUAGUAUAUAUAGGUUAGCCUUGUUCCAUUUCUUCACAAUUUGAAUCAAUACCAGUUUAAGGCUUCUUCUUUGUCUCUACUAGCUUUUCUUUUUGUCUUCUGCAUUUUCCAGUCUUAAGCUCUAUUUCGUUAAAGUGGGAAUUGUCAUUAUCCCACUUGUAAAAUAAUGUUUCCAAACCUUUAUAUAGUAUAUAAAUAUAACAAAAUUCAACUGCAUUGAGGCACAUGCCAUUUUAUUUUAAACAAGGAAAUGUCUACUCAAUCACUUCUCCUCCCCCUGCCACUGCUUCACCUCUCUCUUCUCCUUGUCAUUGUCGUCCAAUUUCUCUCCAUCCUUUUAAUAUUGGCUCAGUUGCUCCGAGUCUAGGUGGAGCCCAAGUCCCCAUUCAAUCUUUACUUUCCCAUUAUUAAUAAAACAACUUCGUAGACUUCCAAUAACAUGCUGUAACACUUCUAGUAUAAUGCAAAUCCUCUCAAAGAAUUGUCUUUUAAUAUUAAUACAAUGGCAUGGAACCCCAUGCCAUAAUAAGUUACAUUUUUAAAUAAAUACAUGCCAUCUCAGACUGUUAUUUUUUGCCUCCAACGCCUAUACAAUAAUCUUGGAAUUUCAUCACUCUCCACACUAUCAGGAUUUAAACCCAAUAGUAAUGCCAUCUCUUCUCUAAUACGUCCACGCUCAUGUUCAGUGGUCGAAGAACCCAUCCGGUUGAGCAGAUUAUGGAGAUGCGGAUAGUGCUUGGCUAGACAAUAUACAUGCCAUAAAUGAUGACUGGUGUCUGUCCGAUCAAAUGGCUUCUGAUAUACCGUUCCAUCUGCCAUUUGGUUGAUUUCUGCAGCCACCUCCUGGACUGGCUGGUUCUCUAUCACCAUCGCUCCAAGCCGUUUUGCAAGGUCCCCCAGAACAUACGGUUUCUUCUCCCUAGUUUCCAUACUGCAAGAGAUGGGGUGCACUGCAUAUGUGUGCGUGUUCGCUGCAGUUUUAAUCGGCGAGUCAUCGAUGAUGAGGAUUUCACUUGACCUAGCAGUCCGGUUCAUCACUACAGCCUCUGGCUUGACGAAGAUGGGCUUGCUACCCCUCACAUGGACCAUAGUCAAGCAAUCCUCCUGCGUUAGGAGAAAGUCAAAUGGUAAUAUUACUCGCGUCUGAUCGUGCAUCAUCUGUAGCAACGUUAAUGCAUUGUGGCGCAUCAUGGAUGUCCAAACUCCCAAUUGCAAAUUGAACCCGGCCCUCUGUUUUAAGUGUCGCAUGGUCAUUAUUAGAUCCCGCAGUUUCUCCCGUGUGAUUAAUGUGAAUCUGUCUCUUUUGACCAACUUGCGACCGCAGGCUUUGGAGGGUGCAAUGACAUUCGAGGAUGAGCCACGCUCAUGGGAGAAAAGGACACCGUUCAGAUCAAAAACGAUACAGUACCUUCGCCGUGACUCUGAAAUGAAAUGCGUCAGCAUAAAAAAUGGUACAAGUCAAUUUUACCAUCUACAAUAUUAGCGAAUGUUGCUCCCGAUGGUCGUUGAGAGGGUUUUGGUCGAGGAAACGUGAAGGGCGGAAAUACUCUCCUCUGCAAUGUGGGGUCAAUUGCAUCCGAUGGCGUGUGGGCACAUGCCAUUUCAGCUGUAGACUCUGGUACAACUGGCUCAACAGUGGCAUGGGGUGGUUCCGAUGGCCUGUGAUCACACGCCAUUUCAGCUGGUGCCUCCGUUGGCAAAGUGGACAUGACCGAACAGGCAGCAGGGGUGGUGUAGGGAGGUUCCAACGGCGCGUAGUCAGACGAUUGGGCACACGUUGAGUCCGUUGGAAAUGAGGAUACGACCGGCUCGGCGGCUGGGGCGGCCUCAUGUGAGUCCAAUGGCGCCUGGUCACCGUCAGUUGGAUACGUGGACAAGAUUGACUCAGUGGUAUGGGCAGCAUCAAGUGGAGCGUGGUCAGCUUGCUUGGCGUUGAUAUGGAUAGUAGCCUCCACCAGCUCUGAUGACUCUUGCAGCCAAGUAGAGUCCACUGGCGGAUCCAUAUGCAUGUCCAAAUAUCUCCCUUCGAUUGAGAUGGUAUCCUCCCGUGCUACUAAAAACAAACUCAUUAGCACAUUGAAUCGACUAUACUGUAUUUACCAUCAACUGCUAUUGAGGAACUAGGACUGAUAUCACUUGGGCGCACUGCUGAUUCUGAAGGAUUGGACAUACGUUUCGACCCUUGCUUGGCACUAUCCUUCCUCGACACUAAAGGCUAGAGUUUGUAAAUUCAACUGAAUAAUCUCUACUUACCAUUUGCUCUGCGACCUACAUGGACAAUGUUAGAAAUGGUAAAAGGUUAGGAAUGGAUGUACUAUUAUUUACCUGAUGGUUUGUCUUGUAUGACCUUCCUCCGCUGCUCUUUGGCCACCUCAGGCUGGCCAUCGUCGUCAUCAUCGUCGUCGUUGUUAUUCUGAUCGUCACCAUUGUGAGGACCAUCCAAGUCCUCUUCGUCCUCCUCUUCUUUGUCCUCCUCUUUGUCCUUCUGCUCUUCCUGCUCAUUAUCUUUCUCUGGCUCCUCAUCCCCCUCCUGCAUUUCUUCCAUAGGCUGCUCAGGCUGGAUGGCUUGUUCUUCCAGGACCAUCUUGGGAAAAUCAUCUGGCCGAGUCUCCAUCUCAAAAUACAAGACAUCCAUAGCCUGUUUUAGUGCGUGACCUAGGACCGUAUCCUCACCCGACUGUCUUAACAUGGUUUCUGCACGUUCUUGCACCCUUCGAAGACGACGAGAUGAGAAAAACGUGGCCCUGACUUGAAAAGCUUCCCUCAUCCAUUGUACCUCUCCAUUGAGAUUGGGGAAGGGGAGUCUGCCAUAGGAAUCUGAGUCAUGAGGUGGUGACUGCCUGCUUUCACUCAGCCCUUGAUCUGCAAUGAAUGGCAUGAGCACACACGCCAUAACCGCGAGGCAUUACCUAUCAUCUUUUCGUUGCCCUUCUUCCUUUUCGAAUCAAACGCCUCUGAUCUCGACGACUGUCCAACGUGCUUUCGCUUUUUAUGACCACUGUCAGUUUGAGCUUGGCUGGUGCUUGCCUGUUUUGCCUUUGAAGAAGUUUCUCCUGCAAGGAAUGGCAUGAGACCACACGCCAUUGCAAAUAUAAUUUGUACCUCCUUUUUUCCUAUUGCUUGUCUGUUUGUCCUUCUUCGAUGCACCACCAGCGCGCUUUUUAGUCCUCGUGUCUGAAUAUUCACAACGAUCUAUAAUCAAAAUGGCGUGAGGCCUCACGUGACCUUACCUUGUGCAGGUUGUGAGCUCGGCCCAACAUGGGUAUCUUCAACAGUAGCUGUUAACGCCGUUUCAGCAUUUGGGGGUGGCCACGCUCCUGCAUAGAGAGCUUGUGAGAUAACAUUUAAACUUAAAGUGUGUACUCACUAGGUUCGCAGAGAAGAUACUGUUUUUCUUUGGCAACUGUAAUUAUAUGCUCCAUUGAAGUCACCUCUUCAAUGGAGUUUGUCACCGCAACACACGGGACACCCUUGAGUAGUGCGGCUCGAAAGAAUAGUCCGCCGCAGUUGUACUCGACAACGCAUUUGCCCUUGGAGUCGAAAGCAGGUGACCCACCCGCUAUUGCGUUGAAGACCCAGCUGAGCAUUUCCCAUGCUGCACCUAGAGCUUUCUUUGGAUUCGAAAGCUCCAUAGCCGUCUUCAGUUCCUCAGGCACGGGUAAAUUGACCUCCCUCAGAUCAAUUCGAUUGGCCUUGUCGAACGAAGCUGGGAAGUCACUACAGUCCCACUCUGCUGCAGGACCAAUAACAAGGGCGAGUGUGAAGAUGCGGACAUUCGUCAGUAUCUUCUUCUUAGCCAUUAUCCCAUGGAUCUCCCGCAUCUCCUUGCCUUUCAACCGAGCCUUCACCUCGUUCAAGGCCUUCCAGAACUUGUGAUAGGAUUCGGAGUCGUAAAUCAUAUAGUGGACUGAAGAUUCUACCUCCGCAAGUCCCACCAUUAAGUCAAUGAUGGAGCUGACUUCGUCUGCAUGAGUGAUCUCCUCGUUUGUGAAGUCCAUCACACAAAAGAUGUUCUUGACCUGCUCAUCUCCGCGGGAAACGAUGCUCCUCCACCUUUGAUCCUCAUCCGAAUUCAAGUAUACCCGGUAAGGUUCUCGAUAGGCCUCUGCUGCGGGGUCGAGCUGUUUCUGAAGCCGGCGGUCGACAUCAAUCUUAAUGAAAUUUGGAUACUGAUCCAACUUCUCAGCUUUACUUUUCAUGGCAUCCCACAGCAGAUCGAUGAACUUGGGGGCCCCCUUCACGUACUCGUCGAUGUCUUCAUUUGACAACUCCAGCGCUUCCAUCAUCUCUUGCGUGGUGUCGAUGCUCACCCUCUCCACGGCCACUUGCUCGAAGAUCCAAUCCUUCAAUAGCGCACGAGCUCUCAGAGUCGUGCACAAGUCCUCGUAUGUCACAAUAUGGCCGGGAGUCAUUUUGGUCUUGUUGAAGACUACCUCACCACGUAGAAGAGCAUUAGCCACUGUCAAAAGGUCGUCGUCGUCUAGAGACCGCGAGAAACGCAAGGCGUUGAGCUUCAAAUCAUUGGGCUUCCGGCCGUCCUCCACACCCAUUGAGUUUGGCAACUCCCCAUCAUGGUACCUCCUCAGCACAUCUACCCAUUUGUCAAAAACAACUUUUGUCGCGAGUAGAAUGUUAUGGAUGCUGAGUGUGUCAUUGACCCCCAGUGUUUUCGAGAGAAGACUCGAGAAUUCCUGCAAUGGAAAUGGCGUGAGGCCACAUGCUAUGCCACAUGCAACGAGGCUUACCUGCCAGGCGCUAGUUGCUAGUGCACGUCCUUGUCCUGGUUUUUGUGGCUUCUUCAGUUGAACCCAGAGCUUCCGUGUUCGUGCCAAUGUCUCGUGCAGACCCGAUUUGUAGCACGUUUCUUGCUUGACAUUCUGCGCGUGGGAGAUGUAUAUGAUAGAUCGGAGGGGCGAGUUGCCUUUUAUCAGGCGGACAACUCUUGUCUUGAAGACUUUCUUCACCUCCUCGCCCACCAUAAUAUCCACAACUAUCUCUUGCAUCGCCAAGCUAGAAUGCUGCCCGGAGACGGCAUAGAACCGGAUAUUCUGAUCGUCCAACACCUUGUAUUUGCUUUGGAUGUCAAUACGGCUCACGUCGAUUGUAUAUACUUUGUUGGAAUAGUAACAAGUACUAUUAUCUGCGACGAUUUUUGCUGCCUCUUCUUGCUCUUUCUGCUCUUUGCGGCUCUUCUUUUUGGUGGGUGUAGUGUUCGAACCCGAGGCAAUGGCAUCACUGAGUAGCUUCUUUUUUGGAGCAGGAGAGUCGGACGUCGGCUUGAGCUUGACCACCCUUUUCUGCUUCGAGGUAGUUUCCAGAUCGACCCCCUUCCCCUUUGCUUCGCGAACUGGAGUCACUCUCAACGGCUCAAUGUUGGAAUAUAGUUUUUGAACAUCGCCGUAGGUGAGGUCCGUGGAUUCCAUAUGAUCUUCAUAGACCCGCAGCGUCUUUGAAAUUGUGGGCCUCCUGGACAACCUCUCCCUAGCUCCCUCUAGGAAUUCCUCAUAGCCGCUGCCCCCCUCCGGGAAGCCGCUAGGAUGUGCAAGGUGGAUCUUGAAGGCAGACGCUGUCUCUACCACAAGUGCCAGUCCAUAUUCUUGCAUGGAACUGCAUGGAGUGUCUGUCACUUGGAUGAGGAUCCCCAUGCAUUCUUUUCUCCCACCAUCUGUGUUGUACAGCCUCAGAUCCUCGCCUUCCAUCCCGAAAGUCCAACUGGUGAGCUCCUCCCCCUUCUCUGCAUCCACAUUGACAGUGGCUGGAAGAAGAACGCAAUUCCUCGCCUGUUCAGAAAUGCACAACAAUUAGAGCUGACAGAUGAAAAGCUAGUAGCUGGAAAUAACGUGAGGCCACACGCCAUUCACCACUGCAUCAAAUGUCUUGAGGCUGCAUCCUAAGAUGGCGUGAGGCUACACGCCAUCUGUAACCGGACUGCACUCGAGAGCCCAAUCGGUGCAUGCCAAUGUUGCUACUGAAUGGCAUGUGGCCUCAUGCCAUUUUCUACUUGGCCUAAAAGACUUACCAUUUGAAGCCGAAUGGAGGCGUGACAACCGGACUCGCUGGCGAAUGUGCACUGUGUGUGUAGCGGAUCAUAGCAGCAAGGCUACUCUGCCACUUACAGUUGGAGAGUGGCACUGAAAUCUCCCGGGACGCCAAGUGGGCUGCGUGUGGGUGGCGGAGUGGGCGGCGGAGUUGGCGGCGAAGUUACAAACUGGGUGUGUCUUGAAGUGGACGCCGAUGCACACGAGCGCGAUGCGAGCGCGAGUGUGAUGCAAGCGCGAGUGGAUGCCGAUGCACAUGAGAAACCUGUAGAGAAGUGGGAGCGCGAGUGGGAGCGCGAUGCGAGCGCAAGUGUGCGAGCGCGAGUACGAAGCAAAAUGCAAAACCUAACCUCACACGCGCGAAAUGUCACGACGGUUGGUAAUCCCGCCACGUCAUCAUUCCUCGGACUUGGGCGCCACCAUUAAUUUCUGGAUCGCCGCGCGCAUGCGUGAAAUCCAAGAGAAAUCCGCAACGUCAUCAUUCCUCGGACUGCAUGCACGCGAAAUCCAAAAGAAAGAUCAUGAUUGGGAUAUCAUUUAAUACCCUCGCUAUAUUUAUACCAUGCAUGAUUGGAUAUUCCAAAGCAUCUUGUAUUUCCAAAAAUGCCAGAUGUUCAGCUAAAUAAAUUGUCAGAGGAUUUGAUGUGACGUUCAAGCGUGUGGGCUCAUGCAAUUUUGAUCCCAAAAAAUGCACCAAAAAAUGCUCGGCGUCAUCUGGCGUUAUCUCUUGAAUGGCGUGGGGCCGCAUGCCAUUUUCAGGAGCACAUAGGAGUAUAUUCCUAGAAUAUUCUAACACGCGCGAAAUUGUUUUGAAUUUCCUGGAGAUCCAACCGUUAGAUCGCAACUAGAUUUUACAGAAUGGUAUACAAUGUCCUUCUUGAUGACCCUGCAAAGAAGCAUCUCAAUCGGACACCACAUGAGACCACACGAGCCUUACAAUGUUUCAGGGGCAUUUGCCAUAGAUCCGACCGUUAUUUUGCUCCAAGAUUCUACAGUGUGGUGUGCAUUGACCUUUCCAUCGACACUGCAAAGGGACAUCACAAUCAGAUGCGGGAUCACAAGAAACCAACUUCACUAACUCUGGUUUCACCAAGAUCUACGUAAGGAGUUAUGAAAUGAAAGGACCCUCUCUAUUGAAAUGUGUUUAUGGUCCUAGGGGCAUUGUGACAUAUCAAAGGAUUUUGCAUCAAGUUCUGUAUUUGCAUGUUUAUCAAGCUACUGAAUUGCUAAACCCUAAACCCUAAACCCUAACCCUAAACAUGUGGCAAAUGCUGGGUGAAGAAAGAUGCCCUUUCUGGGCAAAUGCUGUAAGAGGCAGAUUCCGAGCAGAUGUAUCUCAGAUCAGCGAAAGGGACAAACGAAAGCUAGCUAUAAACAUGACGGGAUGCAAAUAGAUUACUAGGCUGGUCCUACGAAAAUCAAAAACCAUAAUUGAAAACAUUGAAAAUGCAAAAAGAAAGGUUUAUAAUAUUUUUGAAUUUUAAGCAACCAAAUGAAUGUAAGUAGGGCAUGUGUUUGUAAGUUUAAAAAUGCCUCAACCACUUAAAUUCCCAAGUAAAUAAAGUUGUUUCUAUUUUUGGUACAGGUAAACUUUAUAGCGUGUGGGCUCAUGCAAUUUUGAACCCAAAAAUGCACCAAAAAAUGCUCGACUAGCAUUAUUCUUUGAAUGGCGUGUGGCCUUAUAUUGCCAUAAAUGGACGUACACACACAGCAUAAUUAUUCCUUUACACGGUGAAUAAUCUUGGCGCAGAUCGCUGACAUGGCAUGGCAAAGUUCGAAUCACUGACAUGGCACAGCUGGAUCGAGGCAAGGACAUGAUGUGACAAAGUUCAACCUCCGACAGCAAAGUCUAGAAGCUACUCAGUUUGAAAUUUGUCAGAGGAAUCAUAAGAUCUGGUUUGUUAGAGGAUUUGAUGUGACGUUCAAGCGUGUGUUAUUUUUGAAUUCUCGAACUCAUUCCUAGGUCUAUCAUUUUUGUGCGCCGUGUUCUUGGUUCCGCUAAGCGCAGUGAGCGCUACUUGUGUAAGCGGCGUUGUGAGCUGUGGUUUAUGCGUCUACAAGCGGUUGCGGCAUUGCGAGCGCCAUUGCGAGCGGCAGUUUAUGCGAGUGGCAGUUUGUGCGAGCGGCGCUACGAGCAGUUGCGGUGUUGUGAGCGGCACUGUCUUUGGUGUGGCUACCACUUCCUCUUGAUAUUCGGCACUUGUGCUUCCUGGUAUGUUCACCAUGGAAUGGCUUAGGACCACAUUUAGAAAUGGCAUGAGGCCACAUGCCAUCUUGGGCCCUUGCAAUUUCAUGGCUAGCAUAUUGUCAUGUAUGUUUUUACUUGCCUGCAGCUGUGUGUAUAUCAAGAUGGCAUGAGGCCUCAUGCCAAUUUUGUGAAUGCGAAAUUUCACGUGGGUGUCAAUAGCAUGUUUGAAUAAUGGCAUGUGGCCUCAUGCUAUUUGGUAUGUUAUGAUUUAGGCCAUUCUCCAAUCAUUUUUUGUAUGGUCUUAACUUCUUUUCUGCACUUUCAGAAUGGCCUUCAGGGUUGGGGAAAAGGUUUACAUUUUGAAUGGUGGGAAGAGAGUUGCAAAAGGGACCCUUGUGUUUAUGGAUCGGAACUUUGUUAUACAAUGUCAAAGGCUUGGGGAAGGCAAUGCUGCUGUAUCAGUAGAGACUGUCUUCAAUGGGAAUGUGGUCGCUAUUGAACGAGGAGAGAUGGUCGUCGGGGUAAAUGUUGUUGUUGCCUUGAAAAAUCUGCAGAAGAAAAUAGAUGUUGGGGACAGCGCAAGUGCGACGCAUGUUCCCUCCGUGGAUCUUAAGAACCGUGCUACAUGGAUUCAGGCAAAGGUGUUUCUAAACAACCCCGAGGGGGAGGUGGUAGCUGAGGGCUUAGCCACAGUUGUCGAUCCAAGAGAUGCGGUUGCUAAUCAAGAAUUGGGCUGGGAUGAUAUUGGAGUUGCGAUUUUAGAGGUUGUUGACACAGAAGAAAACAGUCUGACUAUUGGAAGCAUUGUGCGGUGGAAAUUGAGGCAUUUAGUGUUUGAGAAUGUGAAGGAUUCACAAUCAAACACCACUACAACUGAUGACAGAACAUCUCUUCAUGGGAAAAGAAAGUACACCUUCCUACAGCGCAGCCAAAGGGAUCUGAGCAACGAACCGAAAAGGCAAAAAAUGGCGAUGGAGGUUCGAAUGGUCUCGACAGUUGCUUGUUGCAAGAGGAGGUGCUGUCAACAUGCUGAUUGGGAUGCUAUUGAAGAGGAGAGAGCAAGAUACAAGACAUUGUCCUGGAAGGCAGCUCGCAAUUUUGUGUAUGAGGCAUUACGGUCAUCUGUUGAUGCUUCAGAACAUCAGGUGGGGGGCAUGGUCUUCCAGAGGGGUUUGGUCUGCAUGAAGGCAUGGAGAAUCAUUUAUGGAGUCCCUCGAAGCACAUUCUACAGAAUCAAAACUGAGUUCGAGGAACAAAGGGUUCAACAGGCAGUCCAUGGGAACGACGGUACGCACAAAACCAGGGGUCAUGUUGUAUAUGGAGAGGCAAUCUUCAAGAGGUUUGUCGAGACAUGUAGCGAGCAGCAACCACAUAAAACCCGCCUCUUGGAAGAUGGAACACGAGACACCCAACGAGUUCUCCCUUCCAUGUAUACCAAGGGGGCCAUAUUGGAAGAUGUGAAUCGGGAACUCUAGAGUAAUAGCUACAGGAAGCUGAGCCAAUCUAGAUUUAGUAGAUUGUGGAGCAACAGGUUCAGGGAUGUGAGUAUAGGAAAGUACUCCAGCUUUUCAAAGUGUGACGAGUGCACUGCUAUCAAAAUGGCUUUGUCGAAGAAUUCUUAUAACCCCGGGGGCAUCCCCCACACUUGGCGGUGCACCCAAGCUAGCCCUUACGGCCAAGGGUUCAUAGCAACUGAGAUUAGGUGUCCCCAUCUCACUCACCAUGACCUUGGUGCCACUUGCACCAAAGCGUUCAAGUUAGAUAUGCUGAGCUUUUACACUAAGCAAUCUAACCGUGCAUCACGACUCCGAGGCAUCCCUCGCUUGGCGGUGUGCCCAAACCAGUCUCCCCACUGAGAGUCCAUGACCACCGAAAUAUGAGUGUCCUCAUAUUCCAAACCAUCACCACGCCCUAGUGAUUUGGGACUCGAACCCAAGCACUAGAGGGUCGGGACUCGAACCCAACCUCCGUAUAUGCAUCUACGGACGGCAUCACACUAGAUGCCUGGCGUGACUCCCCACGCCGGUGCACCAACCUAUUUUUAAAGCGCGCUACAGAUCACAGCUUAGGAACCUAGUUCCUCCACACUGCCAAGUCCUCUCACUUGACAUGUCUAUGAUCAUGCUUGGACUCCUCCAUGCUCGGCCCCCUGGCCCACCCUUUUUGAAGAUAUCACCUUCAACUAGGGUCUUUGUUCCCCCGACGUGCCAAUCUCACUUGGCAAGUCCUCCGACCAUUGUAACAUGGUUCCUGCAUAAGCGUGAAAGUCCUUGACCAUCGACUUUCAUUCAAAGCCCUCUCUUUGAACACUCGGGAACUACUUCCCUAACCUUGAUAACCUUGCCUCAUGGCAAGCUUCAAGACCACGCUUCUGCUGCGCCACUCUGAUUUCGCGCGUUCCAUGAACCAUUUACACUUGGCCUUUCUAGGUACUACGCUACCUAGAAUCGUCUUUGGGAACCUUGAAGGAACUCUGUCCCUCAGCUUGCUAAGGCCUACCCUUUCGCAAGCUUUAUAGUUGCCAUAUAGUCUAACAUGGACAAUUCCAUAUUUUAGACUCUCCAUGGCAUCACGGUUGCUAGCAACAACAUCCUCGAGCACCCUCUUGAUUCUCCACUCCCAACUUUCAUAACCACUGUUGGAUAUGCCCUUUGAUUUCUAUGGUUUAGUUCCAUCUCAACACUACUUGCCUUUGGCUUCACACCUUUCCUUCGGUCAUUCUCCUCCAGACCAGGAGGAUAGCUUUGCACUUUCUAUCAUGCCUUAGCAAGUAUUCUUAGGGAUGAACAUACCCAAUAGCCCAGGGAGUGGUUCCUCAAUCCGGGUAUGCUCAGCUUAUAAUCCCACACACUGGGGUUACAUUGUUGCUUAUGGGCCUUUACAUGCCCAUCACUAGCUUUGCCAAAAUUCCAUUUUUGGCUUUGUCUAACUUGGGUAGACAGUCCUCUCCUGUCUCCGCAACCUUGGACAUUUGGAUAGCACCUUCUAUCCAUCAUUCACUAGGGACUUAGUCCCUUGGGCUUUAUCCAUUGCCCUCGCGACAUCAAACACCACCUUCUGGUGUUCUAGAGUGUUCGGGUGUCCCAAUGAUGGCUUUCUUGACAAUGAGUAUUUCCUUUUAUGACAUUGACUUACUAUAUCGUAACAUAAGCAACUUAUCCCCCGUAAGGGUAUAUCCGACUUCCCUAUACUAGAAGUCUUGGGUAGCUACCUUCUACCCGUUUAACCAGUUAUUUUGCACCUCUUGCUUAGUUGCCUCAUAGUUGUCAAGUCCUACAACUCAUUGCUUGGUGCUUUCACACCUCCAUCACUAUCUGGGUCACCACACUCCAACUGCAUGCUCUACAGCUUAGGCUAUGCCAUUCCCAUUUCCAUUGGGAUUCCUUUGGCAAGGGGUUCUCAUGAACCCACCAACAUAGCCUCAAGGUAUCACACCUUGGCACAUUUGGUGUCUCCACACCAUCGGCUCCACGAGCCUACCUCUAUGACAUUUCCCUUUGUGUCUAAGUCUUUGCCAAGACCAACACCGCUCUUUCUCAUGCCAACUAUCUGUUAGCACUGCCCCAUAGAGGUCACACACAACUUUAUGUCAAAGUUGUUUUCUUCUGGGAACACCUUUCCCAUAACUUUAGCAUGGCACAUUUUGCCAUCGAUGAGAUACUCUCUGUUCUCAUCCUUGGAUCUUAUGAUCCCCCCCCAUCCUUUGUGGGGUACAACACACCUCAGUCCAAAUGCUUCCAUCAGUCCUUUUAGGACCAUCCGUUGACUCUACUUGAGUCAUCCAGCAGUUUUGGACUUCGUUAAUCCGCAGACCCGUAAGGUCCUAUUUGUGAGGCACUAGCUCACUGGAAUACACUUCUUGCAUUCCUGUCCUACUCAAAAGGACUAUUUUCACAAGUGUUGCUCCGACACUUGAUUUUGUUCUCUGGGGGCAAUUUUUGCCCCUUAAGACUACUUGUCCAUGUGAUGAGAAUACCACUCAUCUCUAAGUACACCCCCCAACUCCUUGGGUUGUUCCAGCAUUUAUUAAAGGUAGCCCCGGCUACCAUUUCAAGGACUUGAGUCCUUUUCCGUAUUUGACCUUCCACGGUCAUUACCUUUGGUCUCACAUUCAUGAGCACCAACCUCAACUAUAUGAGGAUAAUCUUGUGACUCCUUUAUUGUUUUGGAGUCUCUAUCUUUCCCGUGAUCCCAACUUUAGUUGUUUACCACAACAACCUUAGCCAAUUUGCUGAGACAAAUGCUCAUCCGGAUCACAUCCUCAACUCAAUGAGGAAAACCUUGCACUGUUCCCAAGAUCCCAAAGUCGUUCCAUUAUUGGCCCUUUUCUAUCCACCACCUCGUCUACAAGUUCACACAUGAACUGUAAUGGAGAGCCAUGUCUUCCCGACUUGCUACUCCUCAAGGAUAGGCCCACUCCUCGGACUUUCCGAUGCCAACACUAGUGGUGAUAUACUUGAGCACCAAUAAAAGUUGGACUAAGGAACAGCUCCGAUACCAAAUUGUAAGCGACUAAAUUUUCCAUUUUACUUUAGUCACUUAACCACACCUCUGACCACUUUGAGGAGUCUCAUUCACAACCUCCAUCAAUCCAAUUCAGGACUUGGGACUUGCUAGCCCCAAGAAUGGCAUCCAUGCCACUCAACACUUGCACCUGGUCCAAGUGCUCCACGUGUCCGGUCCCAAGACCGACACCCAAAGGUACCAUUGACAUCUCGGCCCGUUACGCUAAGGCCAUGCCCAUUCACCUUUGCUGCACUAGUGGUCCAAUACCACUUGCAUCACCAUCCCGUCUCUCCAAGACUGGGCCAUCUGUCCAUGAGUGGUCAUCCUAGAUCCACUCCUUAGCAUCCUUAGGAUGCCCACAGACCUAGGGAAUCACCUUCCCCAAAGUCCCUUUGUCAGUUCCUACCAAGUCCCUUUCUGCCCCUGGCCGUGUUUGCCAACACUGCCACUGGAUCGAGGCCCACAGGCCCGACCACUAAGUCCCAUGGUCCUCUGGGACUUCCUCACCACACGACUAUGUCCUUGGUCACUACCCCAGAGGACUGCUCCUCUUCCUUUCCACAGUCUAGGCCUUUGGGGCAACAUUUCGGAACACCGUGGCCUUACGCGAGCCACCUGGGUACUCUCCCCGCCUUUCGCCUUUAGGUGCUCUAGCCAUGGGCUUAGAGCGAGGUUCCGUUGAGCCACGUCUGGUAUCCAAGUAGGUAGUGCCACCCACACUUGGAUUGGGAGCAUCGGCCAGUCGAUCUCCCGGGGGAACUAGAGCCGGCUCUUGAACACUUCACCAAGCUACCCCGCUUGUCGGUCCGUAUUCACUCUAGUCUUGGACUUCCCAGUGGUCAAUUCAUCACCCAACACUGGGUCUGGCCUUCCUGGGCCAAACUGGCCUUUCCUGGCCAAACUGGCUCCACUGCAGUCCUCCCCCUUACUAUACUUUUGGAGCUCACCAAACCCCCCAGGGUCUGGGAGACGAACGCUUUGGGCUUUCACCCUCUCAGGCUCCGAACUCGGACUCGGACUCGGACUCGGACUCGGACUCGGACUCGGAUUCGGACUCGGACUCGGGCUCGGUCACGGCCUCGGCCUCGGUCUCGGUCUCGGUCCCGAUCUCGGUCUCGGUCUCGGUCUCGGUCUCGGUCCCGGUCUCGGUCUCGACUUCGGACUCCAUCUCGGACUCCAUCUCGGACUCCAUCUCGGGUCCAUCUCGGGUCCAUCUUGGGCUCCAUCUCGGACUCCAUCUCGGACUCCAUUUCGGGUCCAUCUCGGGUCCACCUCGGACUCCAUCUCGGACUCCAUCUCGGACUCCAUCUCGGGUCCAUCUCGGACUCCACUUCAGACUCCAACUCGGGUCCAUCUCGGGUCCACCUCGGACUCCACUUCGGACUCCAUCUCGGGUCCAUCUCAGGUCCACCUCGGACUCCACUUCGGACUCCAUCUCGGACUCCAUCUCGGGUCCAUCUCGGACUCCACUUCGGACUUCAACUCGGGUCCAUCUCGGACUCCACUUUGGACUCCAACUCGGGUCCAUCUUGGACUCCACUUAAGACUCUAACUCGAGUCCAUCUCGGACUCCACUUCGGACUCCAACUCGGGUCCAUCUCGGGUCCACCUCGGACUCCGCUUCGGACUCCAUCUCGGGUCCAUCUCGGGUCCACCUCGGACUCCACUUCGGACUCCAUCUCGGACUCUCCCACGUGUCAUGUGUUGGUCCUUUUGGGUCCCUUUUUGGAGCCUCGCUUUUUGCUCGCUUCGUGCUCGUUCCUCGAGCACUUCUUUGGGAGUUCCACUCCCGCUCUUGACUUUUCAAGUCGGAGCUUUUGGUCCAAACGUGUUACGCUCGUUUGGCUCUCGCUUCAGCCACUACCAUGUGGCACCCUUUCCGGCUCCACUUUGGGGCCUAGGGAUUUUGUGUCUCAUAGAAAAGGGUUAUAGCAUUCACUUGCUAUGACUUGUCGGUUGAUCCGUUAGCAUUUGGAGUAGAUUGUUGGAUAGAGAAAAUGUGUAGUUGAGGCAUUGACAUUGCUGGCACUUGUGUUAGUGGAAGUGGCAUUGUUAUUUCGAGUGAUGAGGAAGUUUUCCUUGGACCUUGAUUUUCUAUGUCAUUUUUUUUGUUAGUGUUUUGGCUUCACAUUGGAUCUUGAAGGUGAUUGAAGAAGAGUGUUAGUGCAAUGUGGAUAUAUGAAGAUGUGGUCUUUGUGAUCAAGCCUUGGAUGUUCAUUUUGCAUUUUGCGGAUGUCAGUGUUGGAUAUCGAUUAGAUGGGUAAAGAUGUUCGAUGCUUAAGCAUGCUAUUGGGUCAUAAGAAUCUGUGUUGAGGUGAGCCUAUGUGAAGUUGUUGGUAGGAGGAAGUUGGUUGAGUCUUGAAAGUUUGCAUUCCUGGACUGAAAGUCAUUCUUUCUCUAGGAUGGAAAAUUUUCCACAAAUUUUCUUAGACUUUUCCAAAGGCUGAUCUGUUGGUCACUUUGCUCGAAAACCAUUCCGUUUUUGUAAGCCAGUACAAACUAUUGAAGGGGUUGGAGUUGGCUUCGGUUGGCUUAAACCUUAAUAAGUAGUUUGUAUGAUGCGACCCGAAAGGGAUGCUAACUUUUGGGGCUAAGGCAAUUGAGUUGGAUAGAGUCUGGAGUUGGUGUAGAAAAGUGGCUGUUGCGCUUUUCUAAGAAGGGUGACCCUUGUGCCUUUCUUUUGUAGCAUUAUGCUCGGUGGUAGGUUGCACCUUGCAUUUCACUAAGACUCUAUGAGAGUAGUGACCUCUCAUUGAUCUUGACUUAGUCUUGGUAGCCCUGCGCCUUAGCUAAGGAUGGUGAUGUCUAAUUUAGUUGUUUGAGGUUGAGAUGUUAGUACCCGUACUAUAGCUUUGUCUAUGAGGAGGUUGUGUACCGAUAUGAGUCCAUCUUAUAGUCUUCACCUUAGUUUCGACUGAGUGUUGAUCACAUAGCUAGCCUCUUCAAGGCAUGCUCAGAGCUAUUGACUAAAUGCAUUAGUGAGCUUAUUGCGGUUGAGUUGGAUUCGAGUGGUCAUUUAAUUUGUGCUUGUCUAUAAACUUUUAUCUCGUACCUGAGGUAUCACGUUCAUGUUGGACAAGUAUAUAACUUGAUGACAAGAGUUAGUGUUCGGGUCUUGUGAAGGCAAGUUGAAGGGUGAUUGUUAGUUGCUUUGCGACUAGUGAUUACUUGUAGACUUUGUCAAAAAAAAAAGACUAUUGAUACUUGCUUUGCUCGAUGAUGAUUUAGAAAUGAUGGGCUUGCUUUACCGGAUGGUGUUGCGGAGGAUCGUGUCGUUAGACUUACAUGAGUUUUCCAUGUUGGCAUGUCGACUCUACCUCUGUUGAUAUCAUUUGGUUACAUUUAGUCCGUAGUGUUAGAUUUUAUUGAGUCUUGGACGUGGUGAAUCACUCCUUGAUGAAGUGUUAUCUAUAACUGAGUUUUGUUGGAGGAUUGGUCUCGGUCACUGACUAAAGUAUCUUCGACUUUGGUUAGCUUGGUUGCUAGAGAGUUUUGAGUGGUGAAUCACUCGUGCUUUCUUCUAGCUUUGUUUUGGUGUUGAUGGCAUUGAAGUGAUGCUUUGUCAUUGACAUUGUUGAUAUUGAGAUCUGAGUGAAAUGAGAUAUCCUUCUAAGGAUUGAUAUUGAGUUUCAUUAGUCUUGAUGAAUAUAGUGUUGAUGAUUUGGCUAUAGCUUUGUGUUGUUGGCAUUCGUGCAUUUGCUAGUUAGCAACUGUGUUGACGUUCAAACGAACUGAGUGGCAAGUUGAGUUAGUUGUGUUCUAGAUGAGAUUAUUUAGUAGAGGGUUGAGCUUUAGCUUUUCCUUGAAAAGUGAUUUAGUCGUGGACUAUGCUAACUCUACGAGAAGAAGAGUUAGUGAUCGAUAUUAGAAUGUUGAGUCCUUGCUGGAUUUGAGUUCGGGAUAUAGCGAUCAUUAAUUAUUCUUUUUGGGCUUAUUAUGAAGUGAGUUAUGUUUUGUUAUAGAUGGAUUCAUGGAGGAUCGUUUGAUGAUCACUUGUUGAGCAUAGCUUCGUUAUACUUAGCUUUUGGAUUGAUGCAAAUAUGCUCUUCAUUAGCUUUGGCAUUAUGAAGUUUGGCUUAUGGAUGUGUUGAGGAAGAUAUUGUGAGUUGCAUCACGAUUUCUUCUUUCACAUUGAAGUUAGCUUUUAUGAGACUUGUGAUCAUUAUUAGGCAAGACUUGGCUAUAGGCUUCUUCGAGCUUUGGUUCUUUGAGUUUUAUGCUCAUUGUUCCAUUUGUUAGAAGUUGUUGGGGAAGGCAUUUUGGCUCAUUCGCUUCGAUGUUGAAGUUGGCAUUUGCAUCUAGCAAUCAUUGGUGAUGAUUGACUAUCAUCUAAGUAGUUAAUUAUCCUUAUCAAAGGUUUUGCUUGAUUAUUGUUGGUAUAGAAUGAUUUGCCGUUCUUCAGGAUGGUAGAUUCUUUCUUUGAUGAUGGUUAUGCAUCUCUCUUUUGAUGGGAGGAUUAAUGAUCUUUCAUGAUGGUUCGUUGUUCUCUUUGAUGGCUUAUGGCUUUUCGCAAUACCACAUAUUCUUUGUGGAUUGCUCUGGAUUGGUCUCUUGGGUUUGAAAUAUCAGUAGGAUGUUGCUACCACUUGCUUAGGCAACUUGAGUUCCUUGGUAUUAUUGACCAGGAUCUAUUCAGAUUGGCGAGUGUGAUAUUUGGCAUGAAUGAGUGUUUGUUGGUCUUACCCCAUUCAUUCUGUUCUGUUAAUUAUUGCUCAAGUUCAUUCUGAUAGAUUGGAAUGUUAUUAUCUUUAGGUGAUACAUUCGCGAGCAUUUUGCUUGCCAGUCAAUGAUACUCUGUGUUCUUUGAGUUAUCUUUCGUAAGUUGUUUGGCAUUCUGUCUACCAUCUUCGAUAGUUAAGUUUCAUCAUUGAGUUUCCUUGAUGAUAUACUUGCUAUUGAAUUUUGUUGGAUGGUCAUUCCUAUGUUUACCAAUUAUAAUGAUCUUGGUGGUUCCUAUACUGUAAUACUCAUUUAUCGGAUGAUAACUUACUUGGAAUAAUCUCUAAAAUAUCAUUGUCUAUGACUUUGAUAUAGUCCAUAUAUUAAUCUUUGAGUUUGGGUCAGUAUAGGCAGACUGGCUUUGGCACUUCAUGUGCAUGAUGAAAUCUCUAGUCAUAGGGUAGCUACUGUCGAUUGCUCACAUAACCCGCCUCUCUGUCGAUGUUCCUUAUUCCGUUGAAAGGGCAUGACCGUGUAAACAACUCUAAUUGCCUGUUUAUAGUAGUCUAUCUAAACCUUACCGACGGGUUUGGUUUCUUUGCUUAGGAGGGUUGGGGCCUCUGGCUUCUCUCUCUAUGUUCCUGCGGGCAGGGGUAUAUCACACUUUUGUAAGCUGGGUGACUCCCAGAGCAGCAAGGGUGGCUGACUCUGUUGGUCAUUUCCUUGUCGGCGACGGCCGGAAGGUGUCUGAGCUGGUAGCGCAUCCGCAUUAGACAAAGAGGUUGCCUCCUAACUCAUUUAAGUUGGUGCAUUUCUCACAUAGUGUGAGUACCGUGAACUUUUUUUGGAGUUGUUUCCUUGGCGGUAUUCUAGACUCGAGUAUGCAUCGACGAGGACGUCGAUCUUCCCCAAGGGGGGGAGAGUGUCGCGAAUGUGACUUUAGGUAUCGAAAGUUACCUAUCGGAUAGUCCUUUCGGAUAUUCUUUCUUACUGCCACCAUGGCAGGAAGUCGGUAUUGCUGGGCUCGUUAUCAGUCUCCACCUAAGCUAGUUGAGAAACUGGUCAUCACAUGUGCACUUAGACCGGAAGGGCACUAAGGAAGGAAAUCCUAAGUUGUCAUUUAGUUAAGCAGACUUGACACGGUGAUGAGAAACUCAUGAUGUUGGCUUGCACUUGCUAGUGUUGGGAACCCCCGCGAUAUUGAGCUUGGUCCCUCAAUAUCGCUAGAUGAUAGCUUACCGUGUCUGCCAAACACCCUCGCUAUCAUGCCCUUUGUGUUAGUUUCAUUUCGGUCCCAAAUGCUAUUUAUGGAAAGUGUUUAGAUUUGCUCAUUUGGCAUAUCUACGGANNNNNNNNNNNNNNNNNNNNNNNNNNNNNNNNNNNNNNNNNNNNNNNNNNNNNNNNNNNNNNNNNNNNNNNNNNNNNNNNNNNNNNNNNNNNNNNNNNNNCAGAGUGAGCUCCUUGCUACGUCUAUUGGACGAUCUCGGCCCAGCUCCUGGCGAAGGUGCGUGACCUGCCGCCCGGAACGCCGAUCGGGUUACAACUUCACAUAGGUUCACCUCAACACAAAUUUUCAUGACCCAGCAGUAUGUUAAGCAUCGAACAUCUUUGCUCAUUUUCCAACAUCCAACACCAACAUCCACAAAAUGCAAAUUGAAUAUCUAAGGCUUGAUCACGAAGACCACAUCUUCAGAUAUCUACAUUGCACUAACACUCUUCUUCAACCACUUUCAAGAUCUAACAUGAAGCCAAAACAUUAAUAAGAAAAAUGACAUAUCAAGGUCUAAGGAAAAUCCCUCAUCACUCAAAAUAACAAUACUAGUUCCACUAACACAAGUUCUAGUGAUGUUAAUGCCUCAAUUACACAUCUUCUCCAUCCAACAAUCUACUCUAAGUGCUAAUGGAUUAAUUGACAAGCUAUAACAAAUGAAUGCUACAACUUUUUCCAACACCUUAUAGGCAAACUUAAGGAAACAACGUACUAACUCAAGCUUAGCAUAAUGAAUCACCAUUGAGAACUUAGUCAAAGCUACUUAAAUGCUACUAUAUAAAGUAGACUAGCUUCAUUAUCACCCACUUUGGGGUUGAUCAUCGUUUAACUAAGCAACUUCGUAAAUACAUUACUCACUAUCAUAUGGAUAUGAUAAAAAAAUCACAAUAACUUGAUCAUCAAUCGAGCAACACUAUGAGUAAUGCCUAUGUCACUACUACAAGGUUUAUAUGAGUAUCAAGUGCUAACUCAAUUUGAUAAAAUGCAACAUAAAUGCCACACCCCACUGAUAAAGAUUUACAACACUCAACACCAUUAAUUUUUGUUCACAACACAGACAAGCUCAUGCCACUUUCUUUCUGACCAAACUCAAAAUUAAUCCAACACUAAGCUACUCAAUGAGCAAUAGCAAGGUUCCCUGGAAAAGAUUAAGCAUUGUAACCCAAGUCUUUCAAUGGCAAGCCUAAACAAAAUAAUUUAGCGCUUCAUCGCUAUCCAUCCCAUGACUCACCAUUUGUAAGAUCAUCACUUCCAAUAUGCAUCAAAGUAGGGACUCUUGAUUGCAUGAUGUGAAUAUGAGCAAUGAGUUAACACCUCGUUGCAAAUCAUCUCUCCAAGAAGAGAAAAUGAUUUACGUGUUUGAUCCUUUGUCCCUGAUAAUUUUCUUUUCAAUCCCAUCUUUGACUAAACCUUAAGCUUGUGUUUGCACUACAUUCAGUCCAAUCUAAGAAAAGUUUAUGAGAGAGCAUGGCAAUGAUUACUUAAACCAAUGGACUAAUCUCUAUAAUCUUGAUUGGUUCACUUAUAAUCAUGCCUAAGAAGGAUCCACUAGUGCCGUGCUAAACAGCUAUAGACUAGCCUAUUUGCCACUCAUAGCAAACCCAAGGGAGGUUUACUUUCACCUGGGGUACAAGGAACAACUCAUGGAACCAUUAAUGGGCUAACAUUAAUUCUGCCAACUCAAAGCAUAACCUUGAGUUGCUAAUGUGCCACACUCCCAAGCCCAAGUGCAAACUUGUGCUAAUAUGCCUCACUCAGUCCAUCUUAUGAGCCCAAGAGCAAGCUCACAUAAUACAGUACAAAAAAGUAACCAAAAUCCAUACCCAAGGAAUAAAUAAGAAGCUUUUGCACCCAAACAUGUAGCCACUCGGAUCAUCAUUUUUAUCUCUACGUAUGCAACAAGAUUAGUGGCCCAAUUUCAUUGGAUAGUACUUGCUGAGACUCACUCUUUGAUACCAAAUGUAGCACACGUGGUUUUUACCCUUUAUCCUAUGGUGAUUUACUAUAGGAUAACCAUGAAGCGGAACCUAACCCACCAUGUGCCACAUGACAUAUGCCACAUAUCCAAAGGACAAUGGUGUGGAACCCAAGUUUCAGGGCUUGGGGCCAUAAACGAAGGAACGGUGCCAAACUCCUAAGCAUAGAGCCAAGGAGCAAUGGCAUUGGGACACGGAAUAAUUCCUGAGUAUAAAGCCUAAGGAGCAAAGGGACAAGAGCAUAGAACGGCUUGGAAUAGUCCUAGAGCAUUCAGCAUCUUAAUGCCAAAAUGAGCACGCAAAACGGAGUUAAAUGGAGUUAAACGGAGUUUAGCACUAUUUCAGCAUACCGAUAACCUAAUGCGAGGAUAUGGGUACUCCACCAACUAAUAUGGUAUGGAACUUGGGCUUAGACCUAAGCCGGACGUAGAACAAGGAGAGACACGCAAGCAGGAGCUAAACUAUGCCUCAGGUUAGUCAACCAUGCCUGACCUACCCACUAUCCCUACUAUACAUUUGGAACCCCCCCACACACUUUGGGCUUUCACCCCAAGCCUCCCUUAGUAUCAAGACUUAGUCUUUGAGACAAACUUGAAAUUUACUAAAUAUGGAAUGUUUCUAUAUUGCGAAUUUAGACAUGGGACGAACACUAUUGUGUUCAAGACAAUCUCUACAUUUUGUAGAUAUGCCAAAUGAGUAAAUUUAGACACUUUCCAUAAAUAGCAUUUAGGAUUGGAAUGAGACUAACACAAAGGGCAUGAUAGCAAGGGUGUUUAGCAGACACGGUAAAUUAUUAUUCAAUGAUAUUAAGAGACCAAGCUUAAUAUUGCGGGGGUUCCCAACACUAGCAAGUGUAAGUUAACAUCAUGAGUUUCUCAUCACCGUAUCAAGUUUUCUUGACUAAAUGACAAUUUAGGAUUUCCUUCCUUAGUGCCCUUCCGGUCCAAGUGCACAUGUGCUAACCAAUUUCUCAACUAGCUUAGGUGGAGACUGAUAAAGGAUCUAACAAUGCCAACCUCUUGCCAUCAUAGCAGUAAGAAAAGAAUGUCCAUAAGGACUAGUUGACAAGUAACUUUCGAUACUCAAAGUCACAUUCGUGACAAAUUGCUCAACUAUAACCAUAUAGCAUCAAGUAAUUGCACUAACUGUUACUUCAAAGUAAAAAAAGGAGGAGGUUGUUACUUUGUCAUAAAGAUGAACAAAAAAGAAAAAGUAAAAGAGAAGAAAUUAAAAAAGGUACAAAGAAAGUGAAAUCUAAAUGAUGCAAAAACUAAAUCUAAACCAAAAGCACAAAUCCAAACAUUUCUCAUGGAUAAUCAAAGAUGCCCCUCACAUCCAUCAAUGUGAGUGCAUGGAAUAUAGAACUGCAAUAUAAAUAUGAAAUAUAUAAAUUAGAAAUAUUAAUUUAUAUACAGGAGUAAAUGGUCCAGACUGAAACCAAUCCAACAGCUAUCAAAAUCCCACUAUGCUAAUAUUAACAUAUGACAUUGUAGUUGUACACUUGGACUUUACAGUGUGAAAUUUAUAUUAAAAGUUAAUUUUUAAACUUUUAAAAUAUUUGAUCUCUUCAACAUUUUUAAUUAGUAUAAGGAGUAAUAAUUUAAUGGCAAAAUAUAUAUUUAAAAAAUAUAAUGCCAUAAAAGCUUAGGCUUGACAUUUUUAUGAUUGUAUAAGUUAGUUAAACUUGAAAUAUUCUUAGAAAAAUACUAAGAUCCUCCUAUAAGUACUAUAAUUAUUGCUACACUUUAAAUUCCUUAUUCAUAAAAACUAAAACCAUCUUGUUUUGUUUAUAAACAAUUGUUCUUGAUAGGUUUAUGUAUCCAUUUAAUUUAUAAUAACAGCAAAGAGAAAAAUAUAGUAAUUUCAUCCUAUCCACAAAUUUAUGCUUAAAUAUGUAAUCAUUUAACUUUAGAACAUUAUGGUUUUCAAAAUCUUCCAGAUAUCUAUUUUUAUUUAUUUAAUUGUUUUAAAUAAGCCAACUGAGGAUUCAAUGUUUAUAUUGAUGACCUUUUAGCUCAUGGAUAUAUAGAUUUCUAUAUAUAUAUAAGUGGAAAUACACUUGAGAAGAGGAAAUCUUUCUGAUAUAUAAUUAUUUUUUGCAUGUAAUCUAAUGGUUUACACUCACCAUAUAACUAUAGCUCAAAACUUGUGAUUUUUCAUGAAUAUAAUAAAAAUUGUAACUAAAUAAUCUAUUAUUCUUUUAUAUCCUAACUCCUUUAGCAGAGUUAGGAUCCCAGCUAGUAGAUAGAACUAAAUAAGUUAAAUAUAUUUUUUAAGGUAUAUUCUAGAAUAUUUGAGUUUGUAAAACAUUCUCCAAAAAUCAUAUUAUAUAAAAUGAAAUUAUUUGUAAAUAGUAAGUGACUUGAAAAAUGAUCUAUAAAAUAGAAGGAAAGAGCUUAUAAAUAAAAGUGCACUCUUUUUUUACAAUCAGUUAAAAUUUUUGGGUUACAUGUCUUUAGAUUUUUGAUACCACAUUUAACCUAAUACUACUUAACGGUUUUGGGUUUGACUCUAUUAGUUGAAUUGAUAUUUAAUAGUCCAAUUUAAAGUCCAAAUUUAGAUAGCAUGCUUACAGCACUCUAAAUCUGAAAAAACACAUAUUAAAUGCUCUAAAUUUGAAAUAACACAUACUCCAUGCUUGCUUAACAAGUUUCAAGGGGGUAUUUAGAACCAUGCAUUACAUUUAGCUUUGAGCACUAAUGAGGAUGUUACUUGAAAAUUAGAGCUAUAGUAGUAUAAUUUGGAGUGGCUAAAGAAUUCACAUAGCCUCAUUAUAGUAAUAAGCCCACCAAACGUUCUCCUUGACUUGUUAUAGUAGUAGGCUUGCCAAAUGUUCUCCUUUGCGCUCAUUUCUUGAAGCAUAUGAUGUGGUGUGGGAUCUGAUAGGAACAUUUUCUUUACUCACUAAUAUGCCACAACUAAAUAGCCAUGGAACAUGUCUAAAUCCACCACUAGGUUCUGCAAGAGAUUUGCCACUCAAUAUGGCAUUUUUUUCAUGUCAUAUAACCUUUUUGGUCAUGACAUUAAAACCAAUGCCAAAAAUUAUUCAGAAGAGUCAAAGAAUAUGAAACUUCCAGAACUUCAAAAAAGUACUAAACGACCGAUGGCACUCACAUCAGGGAGCCGUAUCCCACACUGACACACAAAUCUCCAUGACUUCUAUUGUCUUGCUUGACAAGGUUAAUUGACUUGGUGAAGAUGGAAAUGGCGCAAGAACUGCUGGACGGACCGCUGCACGAGAUCAAAGAAACCAGUAAGUAUGAUUUCCUCUUCAACACCCAUCAGUGCCAGUACCUGCAAAGCCGAUGCUCCGUGGUCGAAGAAUACGUGCGGCUUUGGCAGAGCUGCUCUGAACUUGAGCCACUUCCCCUGGCCAUGGAAGAGCUCCGUUGUAUGCUAAGCAGAGCCUUGCAGCUUCUCAAGCAGUGCCAGCACGAGGAAUGGCUGUACCAUGCUGCAGUCCGGCUCACUGAUUCCAGAGCCUUUGCGGAGAUCUGCCUGAGUCUGAGUAGAUUGACGGCCUUGGUCAAUGCUCACAUGAUGCAUUGUGCCACGGAUAUUGGGAGCCCGGAUGUGCAGUACCUCAUGGCCAUGCCUUACAAGCGCAAGCACAUAGAGAACCUGCGUUCAGCGAUGGAGGACCUGAGUCCCUGCGCAUCAAGAGAUAGAAAGGAGCUCUUCAUGAGAGCAAAUUCCAUCACAGAAACUGACAACAGGUAUGUUCUGGCACAGUACCUUGUUAAAAAGCUGAUGUCAAGCAGAGGAGGAGCCGUUGCCACCAUUCAGGCCCUCGAACUGAAAACUUUGAUAGGUGCGGGUGCAUUUGGUUCUGUGUACAAAGCUGAAUGGGUAGGGGCACCAGUUGCUGUGAAAGAGUUUAGAAGCGGUGAUGCUUCAGUUGACAAGGAGGUGAACAUCCUGAAAGAACUUAUUUUAGAACCGCACCCGAGCGUGCUCCAGAUGAUAGGAUCCUAUCAGAAGGAUGAGAAGGCUUACCUUGUCAUGGAGCUGAUGGAAAGGGACCUGACCAGUGUUAUAAGGAAGGCUGAAGGCUCGCUGCAACUUUUAACUUCUGU